GGCUCAGAAGUCAAACCACUAGCCAAAGUAUUUGACUUUCCUACAAAAGGCACGGCUGGUGUAACUCUGGUGUGCUGUUGUUUUUAAUGUUCAGAGAAUUAUGCAUGCACCCUCUGUAGCAAAUGAAAGGGAAGUGCUUAUCUCUUUCAACAAAGUCACUUUCUAGCUGUUGCUGUGCCUUUGCAAGAGAUGGAAGAAGUACGGUAUCUGAUGGAUGGAUAUCUACGGACAGAGGUGAACACUGUUUCUGUCAGACAGUUCAGCCAAGGUCAGCUGGGACUUAUUAGGUGGGGUUGCCAUGGGCUGCUACAUUAGCUGUGGAAAGGGGCUGCAUACAGUGAUCUUAACCUAUUCAAUCUCUGCGCCGCACAGUCUGCAUAAUACAGUGGACCAAAACCUAGUGAUAACACAGAAGGGGAAGCAGAGAGCAGUACAGCAAACUUUUAUUACUUUCAGCUGAUAGCUACUGCAAACUUGCAGAGCAGAAGAGAGAGAUUUCAGAGAUACAAAUUCAAUUCCAAAAUAGGAGAAAACACUAAAAAUGGAAAUUUGGAAACAGUAAAAAGCAUAGUUUCCAAAUGUAGGAAUGGGUUUGUAAACAUUUUAUUUGUUCUUGGCAGCUGCGCUUAAUUGGAAUGAUUCUUAAUAAUUUCCACACAAGACUAGUGAGUUGUUGUGAUCAUUCUUUUUUUUUUUUAAUGUUUUGCAUGUGCUGUUAUUGCUUUAAAAUGUUUUUCAUAUUAAUAAUGGGUGUUUAGCUUGUUAAAAUAUACACAAUGGUUUUAAUUUUGUGUGUGUGUGUGUGUGUGUGUGUGUGUGUGUGUGUAUAGCUGUUUUAUAAAUGCUGUGAUAUUGUAAAUCACUUUGAGAUGCCUCAUGGGAAGGAAUUACUAAAUGAAAUAAAUUGUCAUUAUUAUUACUAUCAUCUGGAAGAUGAGAGGUCUAUUGGUGGAUCAGUUUAGUCCUUGUAGAGCUCUCUUGUUUGGGAGCUAUCAGGGUGGUGCAAAGAAUAAACUGGCCAUAGAUUCAAGGUUUUCAGUAUUGCGUGACAUUCUUUUAUUUCUGCAUUAAGUAUCAAUGUACCAUACUGGUUGUAUCAGGUCCCUGAUAUAUUAAUAAAAUCAGAAACAGAGGAAGAAAACUUAAGAACAGAAAUGGGAGAACAGCUAAGGAGCAAGUGGUCAAAUGUUUAGGUAUUUGUAAACACCCACCCUGCUUUAAAAAUAAUAAUAUAGUUCCAGCAAUAUUUCCAUCUGUCUGCUCUGACCUCAGGAGGAAGUACAGUCAACAGGAACUCAAAUGGCCAUUGUGCCCUUUGAAUGACCUUUUAAAAUGGCAUCUCCAUUCCCUGAAGGCUUGGCCAACUUGUGCAGCUCUGGUCGAGGAGUGGAUGGGUAGCCAGGCAUGAAUAAGGCUUGCCAAACUGGUGAACUGUGUAAAAGCUUAUGAGACAUUUUGCCUCCUUCUUGACUGCACUGAGCUAGAGUACUCUUGUCUGACACGCUGCCUCGAGGAUUGCUUCACACAUGGGGAAUAUACAGUGGUGCCCCGCAAGACGAAUGCCUCGCAAGACGGAAAAACCGCUAGACGAAAGGGUUUUCCGUUUUGAAGUUGCUUCGCAGGACGAAUUCCCCUAUGGGCUUGCUUCGCAAGACGAAAAUACCUUGCGAGUCUUGAGAUUUUUUUCGCUUUUCCCCCUUUAUCUAAUCUGCUAAGCCUUUAAUAGCCUUUAAUAGCCUUUUAGCAGCUAAUCCCCUAAGCCUUUAAGCCUUUAAUAGCCGCUAAACCGCUAAUAGCGCUAAUAGCGCUAAUCCGUCAAUGGGCUUGCUUCGCAAGACGAAAAAACCGCUAGACGAAGACUCUCGCGGAACGGAUUAAUUUCGUCUUGCGAGGCACCACUGUAUGUGUGGUGGCUCAGAGCCUCAGAAACAAGUUUGCUUUGGCUAACACAGCAGCCCUGGGAUGGCAGAGUGCAAAAAAAGGAUGGAUGCCUCUCCCACAGUCUAUAAAAAAUAAACACCAGUUGCUUCUCUUAGACCAGCAAUGGAACCUGACCAAAGGUCACAGCAUUAGCAAAGGUAAUAGGCAAAGGCAACCGAUCUCUCAUUGGCAUUAUCCACUUCUUUUGCACACGCACACAGAGGCAGCUACAGGGCCAAACCAAGGCUCCAUCUGCACAAUGCCUUUAAAAUGUUAUCCUACUGUCUUAUAGAGUCAUGACUUCCCACCAAGAAUCCUGGGAACUUUAGUUUGUUAAGGUGGUAGCUCAUAAUCGGUGCUGUGCGGCUCCAGUAGAUGCUAUUGAUAGUAUAAGUUCUGAAAAAUCUUUUAUUGAUAUUUCCUUUUGCCCUCCAAACACAAUAGCAGAAGGCAAAGGCGACAAUAAAGUUGAUAAUACAGUGGAACCUUGUGUUAUGUACCGUCCUCCUUGCGAACGCUACGGGUUACAAGCUCCGCUAACCUGGAAGUAGAUGCCCCUUGUUACGAACUUUGCCCCAGGAUGCGAGCAGAAAUCACGUGCCAGCAGUGCGGCAGCAGCAGGAGGCGCCAUUAGCAAAAGCGUGCCUCAUGUUAUGAGCGGUUUUGGCUUAAAAACGGACCUCUGGAAUGAAUUAAGUUUGUAACCGGAGGUACCACUGUACAUGCUAAUGCUGAUGGUGUUGUCAAAACCUGGACAUGCCCAGAUUAGAGUGUGGCGUUGACAUGCGUACCUGUUUGCUGAACCAGAUGCCUGUUCCCUAAUAGUUCUUCCCUGGUACAGAUUGUAAUCUGAGCCAGAGGAGAAUUCCUCCCUAACUAAUACUAACCUGCCUGCUGUUGCAGAGGGUGCCUCUGCAUAGAGGGUGGGAAGUUUCUCUCCUCCUCCUCCUCCUCCUCGCUUCCCCUCGUAUAGCAGUGUUUCAGGAACCAGGAACUUUAUUAACCAGGAAGUUAAUAAACCACUAUGCCAUGCAAUGUUCUAUCUACAGCAUAGGCCAAUUUCCACCCUAUGCAUUUGUUUCAAAAAUGCCUUCCAGUAAUCCUAUCAGCCACAUGCGUCUGCUUUCCACAUUCCUUUAUUAGUGAACUAUAUGUGCCUUGCAAUAAUGCAGUCCCCAAGCCGAGCAUGGCAAGGCACCGUAUCUAUUAGAUUUCUUGUUCUUUUUCCAUCCCUAAGGUGCAGAACCAAGUACCAAUUUAGUCAUCAAGCACUGAGUCAUCUAGUAAAUAAUUCAACUCCCCAUCUUCAGACACCGAAGUCAGUUGUCUAAACAAGCCAGUCUUUUUAUGUCAAAUGUGCAAACGUUGUCUAGGCAAGAGAGAGUGAGAGUACAAGGCGGCGGCAGGAGAAUGGGAGAAGCAAGGUAGCCAGGAGAAUACUAGGGAAAGGUCUCUCACAUUUUUAAAAAAAUGUGCCUUUGUUUUGGAAUCUAGGGCGAUCUGAGAAGCUAAACAGUGAUCAUCAACUUGAUUGGAGUAGGGAAAUCAGAGAAGAGCAUCUGAAGUUGCUUUUCACCUCUCCUCUAGCAAUGAAAAACUCCUGGUUUUUGGACUUAUAUGCCUAGUGGCAUGCUACAGAAUCUGAGCAGGAUUUACAGGAAUGAUACUUUUCCCGAAUGGAAGAAAGGUCAAGUAGGAAUAAUUGGGACAAUAGGGAGUUAUUAGCAACCACCCAUGCAUAUUCUCCUAUUGGUGUUUUAAGAACAAUGAAACAAGGUAAAAUCUCCACAACCUCGUCCUAUAUUAUUUCGAGAACUGUAUUGCUAUUUACCGUAUUUUUCGUCCCAUAGGAUGCUCCGUCCCAUAGGACGCACCUAGUUUUUUGGGGGGGAAAUAAAGGAAAUUUUUUCCCCCUUUAUUUCCCCCCCAAAACCAGGUCGGGGAAACCGAACCAGGUUGAGGAACAGCGGGAUGGCGGCACUGCGCCUCCCUGCUGUCCCCCGAGCUUGUGGGGCUGGCCGAUGUCUGCCCGGCGCACAGGGCGCUCUGCUUCAGGGCGCCCCUCGUGCCGGGCGGCAGGCUGCUAUCCGCAGCCUAGACAGCCCUGCGGGAACUCCCGCAGGGUUGCCUAGGCUGCAGAUGUGUUCCCUAAGCGCCGGGCGCUCUGCUUUCAGCACGCCCGGUGCUGCGGGAAGCAGGCUGCUAUCCGCAGCCUAGACAGCCCUGCGGGACCUCCCGCAGGGUUGCCUGGGCUGCGGAUGUCUUCCUGAAGCCUGGAGAGCAAGAGGGGUCAGUGCGCACCGACCCCUCUCGCUCUCCAAGCUUCAGCGAAAGCCUGCAUUCGCCCCAUAGGACGCACCCAGAUUUCCCCUUCAUUUUUGGAGGGGAAAAAGUGCGUCCUAUAGGGCGAAAAAUACGGUACAUAGUGGCCCUAGCCUAUAUUCAUUUGGUGGCUUUGGCUCCUAUUAUGCAUAGUUCACUGUAUUCUUUGUAGUUAGUUGAAUUCUCCUACUACUUCCCACAUGUUUACAUUGAUCAGGGGUGGCCCAAUACGUUUUGCUCCAGCCCCUUCUACGCUUGCUGGCCAUUGCACCCUUCUCCUCUGCCACCACCCGCCACACCCACCUGUUGCUUGGUUCAGAGGAGAUGGCUGAAGCAGCAGGCGGGCACUGAGGAGGCAGAUUCCAUGGCAAAGGGGGCAGGUGGGCACGGAGGAAGAGGCAGCGAGUGGCGGCAGAGGAGACAACUGAGGGAAAAGGCAAAAGAAGGCAGAGCUGCUGCCUCUCCCAGUUUGGCUCAUAGAUAUCAAACCUGGGUAGACCUACUAAAUAGGCAGCUGACAAGUAUUUUUAAUUGUAUUAUUUUGUCACUUUGGUGUUUGCUGCCCUGGAAAGAGCAGGCUAGAAAUUUAAAAAUGAAUAAAUUCAACUUAGGAGUUACACUAGCCCUGACUUGUAACUGCAAUGUAACUCCCUGCUCUCCUUGUUUGCCUCCUGUGUGGCCCCUAAAUCUGCUCUGGAGACUUGAAGGAAUCUGUGAAGCAGAUUUAGGGGGAAGGUGGGGAGGGGAGAGGUCAGGGAAGUUACAUAGUGCAGAUAAAGGUUUGUUUGUUUAUUUUUUGCCAGCAUAACUCUUUAGUUGAGAACUGUCCCAACUGCAGCCUGGAAUGCUGUUUUAAAGGAAAUGGACAAAAUAUACAGGUUGGAAAUUGGCAUCUCUAAACAGGCCUUUAUGAGUUUAACUGUGAAGGGUAUCUUUAAAUUUCAAUCAUUUCAGUGACACUUAAGACAUUCAGCUUUUGGCAGAUGGUAUUAAUAUCCCCCCCCCCAAAAAAAACCCCACAUCAACUUUGGUGUGCAUCCAUCUUUGAAAAAGACAAAGGAAAGGUUUGAAUUUUCAGAACUUUUCUCAUUCAGAAGUUACUUUUGGCAUCUUUCCUGGCUCUGUUAUAUACUGGAAAGACCUCAUAAGGACAAUGGGUCUCGCUUCCAUCUGCAGAACAAGCAUCACCAAAACCCCAUGGACAGAUUAAUGAUUCAAAAACCUGGGCUACAAUUGGUCAAAUGUGAGCAAAUACUUUCCAACGUUGGUUUUCAAUGGAAGUGCUUAAUAAAAAUCAGAAGCAAUGUAUCACUGUUCCGGGAGGCGAUGUCUGUAAAAGGUUUGACUAAUAUUACCACCUGCUGGGCAGUCUGUAACAGUGCAAUACGCAGUACUUUCCAGAGGGGAAGCUGUGUUAAUCUGAAAGACAAAGAGACCUGUGGUACCUUAAAGACUAACCAUAAGUUGGCCCACACCAACAGAUCUGGGAAACAUCCUCCUCGUGAUUAUAUUGACACACAUGCAACAUAUGUAGAAAGAAACAAAAAAGUUUGUACGUAGUGUGGCCCAAAGUUAAUGAAAUCUAAAGGUCAGCAGGAGGUGUGUGACACUUCUUCAUCAAACUAAAAUCCAUGCAAGAUAGAAAGACAGGAAUCCAUCCACGUGGCUUUCUAUACACAUGUAAUUAUAUAGAUAUCUGUAACUCCAGGUUGAUUUAUGUAUUUUUUUUAAUUAUUAUUUAACAGAAUUUAUAGACCACUGUACUGUAAAUGGAACCUCUGAGCUGUUCACACAGCAAGUUAAAACGGUCAAUAAAAGAAAAAAACAAUGUUAAGAAGAAGUAUUUCAAAAGUUCAAAUCAAAUUAAAACCAAUAAUUAAGUCAGAAACAGAUUAGAACACAUGUCAGUUUGGAUAGACUUGCGUGAACAAAGGGUAUAUUAUUUACAAUAUUGCCAUUAGUGCAGGAGUAUCUAAGAUCCCAUCAUCCCUGACCAUUGGCCAUGCUGGCUGGGCCUGAUGGGAACUGGGGUCCAACAACAUCCAGAGGCCCCCAGAGAUCUUCUGAUGGUCAUACGAUUUUGCAUCAUGGUCUACAAGACUCCAUUGGAAGCUGUGCUGUGCCUGAUGCAUGGCUGGCCCAAGGAGCAGAUAGAUUUGUGUCCUGCUUCCUGUUGUUGCCAUGCCCGUCUCCUGCCAUUUUCAACAAUAUCUCAAGGUGGUUGGAUUCCCCUAUAUACUGUUGCCAUACUCAUGCCUUUCCACCCCAGUUUCCUAGGCUCUGUGGAUUUUCCGAAAUGUUCUGUGUGCAUUUGGAGGCCAGGAGGUGGAGCCAUAAUGCAGCUUUUUAGGUAGUGAUUAUCUGCGGGUGACUGGGGAAUUUGCACACUGCUGUGGAUGCAGGGGACAUGGGCCUCCAGGGCUGGUGUGGAGGAUGAGAUUGAGAUUGCAUAUGGAUCCAUUUCAAGGUGCUUCUAGCAGCCAGUUUAGAAAAGAAAAAAACCUUACAUUAGUCUUACAGAGUUUUAAAGAAAAAAUAAAAAUAAAAAAAUUCUCCGCCCAAUACAAAAACAUACAAGACGAAAACUAAUAAAUAGCAUUAUAUCAUAUAAUUACUAACAGCAGGUGGUGUCUUUAACAUAUUUCCCCUCUUUACAGGCACAUAAGCAUAUAUGCUUAUGGGGAUUUUCUUUAUAUGUCAUCAUUAAACCACACUUUAAUCAUUAUUCUGUACUUUAAUCUAUUUUCCAUAACGUGAGGAAUGGCUUUCAUAAAGAUGGCUGCAUAUGUCCCUGAUAUGUAUAUGAGAUAAAAACAUGCUGCACGAAAUAAAAAUCAAAUAUUUCAUCUUUCCCAUAGGUAAUUUAAGUUGGUAAGUCAAUUUCUCUGCAAUGGAUAUAUGCCACAGCUCACUGUAGCAAUAAAAAGUCAAAAGCUCUACCGUUUCCUAGUUUUUAUUUAUUACCCCAUGAGCUGCCACUUUCUCAUUUUGUACCUUCCAAAUUAGGCAUUGGGAACCUCUGUCCCGCUGCCUAAUAGGGUCCCUAUUUGGUAUUCACAGCCGGUCCUCACCACAUGCACCUGCAGUGUCAGGUGCUUGGCAGGUGGGUGGAUUCUGUCUACCCUUCAAAAUGGUCUGCCAAGGGUGUGGGAAGUCAGGAUCAGGCCUGGUGUCCAUUUUUGGGGUGACCAAAGAUUUUGCAGUUUUGGUGUGACCAAAGAUUAAGAGGGAACGUGACUAAUGGCAAAGAUGAAAACAGCGAAUGGGGAACACAAAGCUUUGUUUUAUACACAGCAGCUGAGCACCUGAAUCACAGGUCAGAGCAGAGGAGAGUACAGAGUGACACAGAAAGAGAUACAAGGGGAAUCUUACAGCCUGUGCACAGCCUUAGCUUGACUUCUGCAUCCAGCUUUCUGAAAAGUUCUAAGAGGCAUUUGGAAAGUGGCAGUUCACAAUUUUACUGCACUGGAAAACAAACUAGACUAAGAAAAAUCCUUGAAGCAUAGGUUAAUAAGUAUUACUAGAAAGACAAAUGCGUCAUUCUGAAAAAUAAGGUCUCACCAGAAGUUCAGGGUUAUUGAUAAUGAAACACCAUAUACUAAUUUUUCAUCCAUGUAAUAAAAUAUCUCAGUGAGGAAUAUGGGGGCUGCAUAGGUUGGUUUCAGUUAUUUUCUACUGCUAUGUCUUAAUAGGAUUGCCAGCUUUGCUCUACACAUGAGAGAAACGUCUUCCUGUUUCUGGAAAAUAGUCACUGACGCUCAGAGCUAUUUCCAUCAUCACAGAAUUCUAGAGUUAGGAGGACCCCUGAGGUCCACCUACUGCUCUAAAACAAUUAUCAGGGCUGGGCAGCCGUCUGGAGCAAGUCAGGUACCGGGUACCAGGAAUCAGGCCAAAGAGCAGUCAGGAUCAGAGAAUGAACCAGAAGACAGGGGCAGAACAAGGAAGGAGUCCAGACUAAAGAGCAAUCAGAAUCAGGGUGCAAAACGGUAGGCCAAAACAGAGAAUUCAAGAUCAAAGAGCAAGAUCAGAUACACAUUGGGACAAUGCUAUUUUUCUAGAAAAAGAGGUGCUGGAACUCACCAUGAACACCUCCCUCAUGGCACCAACCUGAGAGGUGCCAGAACUGAGUUCUGCCAAGUUCUGGCUGGGGGGGAAAACCUGCAUAGGAACAUAGGUAGCUGCCUUUAUACCAAGUCAGAUUGUUGGCCCACCAAGAUCUGUAUCAUCUAUCUAGGGUUACCAUAUUUUGAAGAGCAAAAAAGAGGAUGCUAUGAGGACUCUCAUUUUAAAUACCCCUACUAUGUAUAGGCUAUAGAAGCUGUGAUAUAUUGCUGAGGGGGCAGGAGAAGAAAAGAGGAAAGCAAGUCUUCAGCCACCAUUUAUGUCUAUGUCUCAUCCAGAAAGUAUAGCCAGAGACAUUUUGGCAAAUUUAAAAAAUCCACCUGGACAGAAACGUUACCUCUGAAAAAGAGGACAUGUCCUGGAAAAAGAGGGCACAUGGUAGGGCUGCCAUAUAUCCAGAAUUUCCUGGACAUAGCGUCCAGAUGGAAUUUUCAAAAAUCAUUAAAAAUGUCUGGGCAACCCAUGUCAGAAGUGUUGAUUAUUUGGGGGGGUUGAAUUUCCUUUAAAAAAUAGCUCAAAAAAAUUCUUCUUUUUUUAGAUUUUGCCAAAAAAAGCUCAAAAAUCCCACCCUCCAAAAAAGCUCACCAACUUUUGUGUCCAGAUUUUCACUUUUUGAAAUAUGGCAACCUAACACAUGGCAACACUGCUGAUUGGUUGCAGCUUUCCAGGGUUUCGGACAAGGGUCCCUUGGGAUGCUGAGAACUGAACCUAGGACUGUCUGUUUGCAAAGCAGAUGUUCUACCAGUGAGAUACAACUUUCCCCAACACAAGACAUACCAGAUAGGUAGACCUUGUUGCUCAAGCACCAAGGAGACAAGAAGUCCUCUUAUGUCCCUUCCAACUUAGAAGGGGCCAAUGACCAACCUGGCAGGUGGAACCAAGAAGGUUCUUCCCCAAGAGAUUGCAGUUACGCUCUUUACCACAUGAGGCAGUGGUCAGCAAGUCAUGGAAGGAGUCUAUCUAUGAGCCAGACAUAAGCCCGUAGGUCAAUACUUUUGUUCAAUCCUAUAUAUCAAGACCAUUUUCCUUGUCUACAAAGCCAGACACUUUAUCUAAUCAGGAAACUAGAAUGGUCUGGCAUGAUUUAUUUUCAAUAAAUCCAUUUUGACUGCAAGUAACUCACUUGAAAUAUUGGCUAAUACUGUUCCAGUUGUAUGUAGCCAAAGGAGAGACAGAAAGUAGGGCAAUGUUUUUGAUUGCAUGAGAUUCAUAGCUGUUGGCAAUAAUGUAUGUCUGUUCAGUCUUCUCAUUCUGCUAUCAUUUAUUUAGCCAGGUACUGUACAAAAUGUAGACUGUAUUGAGCUUUAAGGCUCUUGUUUCUGCUGUGCAUUCUUGUAUAUAUAUAUAUAUACAAGAUGUUGGGACGCGGGUGGCGCUGUGGGUUAAACCACAGAGCCUAGGGCUUGCCGAUCAGAAGGUCGGCGGCGGUUCGAAUUCCCGCAACGGGAUGAGCUCCCAUUGCUCGGCCCCUGCUCCUGCCAACCUAGCAGUUUGAAAGCAUGUCAAAGUGCAAGUAGAUAAAUAGGUACUGCUCCGGCGGGAAGGUAAACGGCGCUUCUGUGCGCUGCUCUGGUUCGCCAGAAGCGGCUUAGUCAUGCUGGCCACAUGACCCGGCUCCUCAGCCAAUAAAGUGAGAUGAGUGCCGCAACCCCAGAGUCAGCCACAACUGGACCUACUGGUCAGGGGUCCCUUUACCUUUACCUUUACAGGUCAGAUAGUUGUUUAUUUCCUUGACAUCUGACAGGAGGGCAUUCCACAGGGUGGGCGCCACUACCAAGAUGGCCCUCUGCCUGGCUCCCUGUAACCUCACGUCUCACAGUGAGGGAACUGCCAGAAGGCCCUCAGCACUGGACCUCAGUGUCUGGGCUGAACAAUGGGGUGGAGACGCUCCUUCAGGUAUACUGGCACAAGGCUGUUUAGGGCUUUAAAGGUCAGCACCAACACUUUGAAUUGUCCAUAAACAAGUCCAUUCAGAUAUGUAAAGCUGACAUCUAUUUUAAUGUGCAAUUUCAUUUCAUAAUGCAUAUUUUAAACUGUUGGUUUUCUGUGUACUUUGAUAUUAUUUUUAGGUGAACACAUUUUUAACUGACUUUUAUCAAUAAUGUUAAUGUAUAUUUUAUUUUAGGCGAUCCACUUGGAUGAUUUUGCAUUGAAGCGGUAUAUAAUUUUUUGUUAAAUAAAGCAAAAUAAAACAAAAAUAGAGUAGCCAGGUUGGGGGUGAAGCAGGGGCUGGAAAACCCCUGGUCUAGAGCUCCCUAAAACCUGUCAGCACCUCUGCUGUUCAAUGGUUAUCUGUUGCUUUGCACAUCUAGUUUUAGAUCCUGUUCCUUACCUUCCUUAAGAUAUAUGCCUUCUCUACCUCCUGCUUAUCUUCCUUCUCCAAUUUCUCCUGCGGUCUUUGCAUUCUUCUCAUUCUCUGCUGCUUGUAAAGCCUCAUAUUUCUUCCUCGGUUUCCCAUCUUCUCACUUCUUCCUCUUAUUGUUUCCUGUCUGUGCAACUCUUUGCUAGCCAAGAUUAAUUCAGUUCUCCCCCUUUAAAACAUGCCUAUGAUGUGUUACGACUAAUUUCUUCCAUUCAGUCUCUGCCUAAUUGUGUUUGUUUUCCCUCUCUUCUGGUCCUUAGCUUCUUUCGAAAUUAUGCUUUUGGUACAUCGGCACAUCAGAAGAGCCUGCUGCUAUUCAGAAGCAUAGCCACUGUGCUUAGAAAUAGGACAUCCAAACUGUGAACUCUCUUAGCCUGCAUCUUAUCUUCCCGUGUACUCUGUGCAAAGUGGGAAUGAUAGAAUAGUUAAGGCAGUGGGCCCCCUGCAGAUCUCGGGGUCCAGGCAAAUGCCCAGCCUUGCCAACUUCUGGAGCCAACCCUCCGUGCAUAUUUUAUAGCCCGGUUUCCAUACCCCAAUAAAAAAACCAAAUGGAGAAUCAGACCCAGCUAUUUAAUAGAGCUGCGGUCAACCUGAAGCAUCUCUGGAAAUUAUAUAGCGUGUCUUGCUGGUACUUGAAGGAAAAACCAUGCUUGCUUCCAUCACUCUUCCGACCACGUUUGAACAAAUGCUGGUAUUCAGAACUCGGCUAUCGUGUUCAUUUGUUGGGGGCAAAGUGUGUAUCAAAGCCAUCUCUCUGGGUAACAUUAUCUGGGGCUCUCUUUGAAAUCCCCAAAGCAACUGUUAAUAGCUCAGUUACAGGAAAAGCGAUACUGUUUGCGUCGCCCUUGUGAGGGGGCCGGUUGCUUAGCGUCAUGGUAUAUUUUCUGAAAACAGUUGGCAGAGUGAUCGGCCUCGCUCAGCUAAACGAAUUAAGUAAUCGCACAAUAUCGCAAGGAAUAUGAGCGAGGAAUUUCCAUAUUAUGGCUCUCGAUACUCCCACCUCACAUGCAAACCCAACGCUUUGGCUGAGCAAGCGGUAACUUGAUCUCAGACGGGGCCCUUAUUAAGCAGAUGCAGUGAAAUGAUGCAGAGUUUUAGGUUGCAUUUGUCAACUCAAUGCUUUUUAUUACCGCUCAUUAGGGCAAGGGAUACCUUGGUGCUGAGGAUUCAUUAGCCAAGCAUUGACCCUUGGAGGCGCAGUAAUUAAACGGUUCUGGAGACUAAGUAUGGGAGCCAGGCCACACACAGCAGGCUGGGAAAAGUCAGCUGCUUCUCAAGCCGAGAGUGAUUUUUGCGUAAGAGACUGGUGAAGAAAUAGAGACACUGGUGACUCAGAUGCAGAAUGCCACGAUAUUCAUAUUCUUCUGGGGAAGAGCGAAGUUGCUUCUCUGUCGUGUUCUCUAUGCAUUUGGAUACCUCUUUAGACGUUUUAACCAAAUUUUGCAUGGUGGCUCCUGAGAUCAAGGGGCAGGUUGUUUUCUGUGCUUCGGUACAAUUGGGUGCCAUGUUGAAUCAAGAUGGCAGAUACCGACAAAAAUAGAGUGGUUUGUCAAAUUAUUGGAAUACUACAAUAUAUCCAAAACAAUGGGAGAAAUUGGAAGGCUCUCAAAAGAGAAGAUAGACAGGGACUGGAAGGUGUUUAAAGGAUACUUGCAAAACUAUAUUGAAAAAUCAGAACUCCUAUUAGAAUAAACAAGUUCCAUUUUAAAUACUGGAAUAUUAAAUAAGAUGGAUAACAAUGUGUAAUAGAAAAAGAAGCAUGAAAUUAGGUUAAAGGCAUGUGAAAGAAAGUAAUAGAAGUGGAAAGAAAUUGCAAUUGAAUAGAUUGGAAGUCUAACACAAAGGUGGGGUGAGGGGUGGUGGAUGGUGAUGGGAAAAGGAAUUAUCUGUGGGAUUGAGUGUAGGUAUGUUUGAACAUUUUAAAGGAUUGUAUGAAAUGUAUGUUUGUAUGUUCACAAUAUGUGUAUAUUAAUGCUGAAUUAUUUUAACAAUAAAAACUUUUCAAAAAAAAAAGAUGGCAGACUGACGCUUUCAAAACUGUACUGACUUUUUUCCCCUCUUGACCAACACCAGCUACAAGGCCACCAGUAAAUAUGUUAAGGUGAAUGUAACUCUUCUCUCAACAGAAUAUUUUCCUGCAAAUUAAAGUAAUUUAGACAGAAUGUUUGUGUUACAUUGCUUCACAAGCAAGUGAUUCAAAGGCCAAUAGACAUGUGGGCUGAAAUACCAGGCAGAGUUAAGUGCAGUUCACUCAGUCAAUCAUAGAAUUGUAGAAUUGGAAGGGACCUCAAAGGUCAUCUAGUUUAAUCCCCUGCAAUGCAGGAUUCUCAGCUAAAAGCAAGCAAGCAAUCAUUUUAUUGGUAUGCUGCAUUUCAGAGUUAAAACCAUGCUCAAGGCAACUUAUAACUUUUUAAGAAUUACAUAACUACAAACAUAACAAACGUAGUCAUAAACAAUAAGCAUACCAUUAAAAAGUACACAACCAAAUUGAACACAGUAACACCCCUACAUAUUAUUUAUUAAACUAUGUGUAAAUCACCUUGAAACAGUGGUUUAGAAGGUGAUUUAUGUGUGGUGGACGUGUAAGGUAAUAAAAGCAUUCUGGGAAAUGAUAUACAAUGAAUUGAAAAAAAUGUUUAAAAUAAUUCUUAUUUAAAAAACGCAGAGGCUUUUCUAUUAGGAAUUGUAGGUGCUGAAAUUCCAAGGGAACAGAAAAGACUUUUUAUGUAUGCGACAACAGCUGCACAGAUGCUGUUAGCUCAGAGAUGGAAAGAAGAUAAAGUCUCUGCCAGAGAAGAAUGGCAAAUGAAGUUGUUGGACUAUGUCAAAAUGGCAAAACUGACCGGAAAGCUCAGAACCAGGAAAACCAAAACUUUAAUAAGGAAUGGAAAAAUUUUACCAUUUAUCUUAAAAACCACUGUAAACAGUUGGAAACAAUAGCAGGACUGCAAUAACACUUGUAAUGUAAGGAGAACUAUGUCUACAAUGGAGUUAUAAAAAGCUUGAUUAUUUAAAAAAGAUGCAGUAGAAAAGGUUUAAUAACAGAACCCAUGGAGGGGAGGGGGGAAGUUCAGAGAUUCAGGGGAAUCUUGUGACUUUGGAUGUGUUGUGGGAUGUUUGUAAACUUAAAUAUGUAAAACCAAAUAAAAAUUAUAUACAGUAUAUCAUUUUGAAGGCGGUUUAUGAAUCAGUAGCAGAGACAUCACCUUGCCAACAAAGGUCCGUAUAGUUAAAGCUAUGGUAGUGAUGUAUGGAAGUGAGAGCUGGACCAUUAAGAAGGCUGAUGGCCGAAGAAUUGAUGCUUUUGAAUUAUGGUGCUGGAGGAGACUCUUGAGAGUCCCAUGGACUGCAAGAAGACCAAACCUUUCCAUUCUUAAGGAAAUCAGCCCUGAGUGCUCACUGGAAGGACAGAUCCUGAAGCUGAGACUCCAAUACUUUGGCCACCUCAUGAGAAGAGAAGACUCCCUGGAAAAGACCCUGGUGUUGGGAAAGAUGGAGGGCACAAGGAGAAGGGGACGACAGAGGACGAGAUGGUUGGACAGUGUUCUCGAAGCUACCAGCAUGAGUUUGACCAAACUGCGGGAGGCAGUGGAAGACAGGAGUGCCUGGCAUGCUCUGGUCCAUGGGGUCACAAAGAGUCGGACACGACUAAACGACUAAACAACAACAAGAAGCAGUAGUAGUAGUAAUAAUUGGCAUUGGAGGUUGCUGGAAAUCUUAAGUAGGUGCUUAUGUGCUCAGAUCUUACUUGUGGGCUUCCCACAGGCAUCUGGUUGGCCACUAUAACAGGAUGCUGGACUAGAUGGGUCUUUGUCCUGACCCAGCAGGCUUUUUAAUGUUUUAUGUUCAUUCAAACAUUAUGGCCUGGGUUCUGCUGAAGCAGGGCUUUCUUGCCAUCUUCUUCCUACUGAGCCUUCUGAGCCCCUCUCCAAUUCCGCCAAUUCCGAGGGUCAGGAGGAUGCUUGGGAAUGGUUUGGAAUAUGGCACAGGAAGCGAGUCAGUGGAAAUCACGAAAACAAUCCCUCCUUGUGCAACCAGGAGUCCCAUAUGACAUCAUUAGUUUACAGAAUGUGAAUUAAGGUGCUUUUUAGAAUGUUUUAAACUUUUCUUUUUAAAAAAACAAUUUUAAUGAUAUUUUUAAUGAUGUGUUUGCCACCCUGGGCUCCUUUGGGAGGAAGGGUGGGAUAUUAAUUGAAUAAUAUCUCUCUCGUUUUUUCAUCGACUCAUAACCUACAGUUUAAAGCAGAAUGAGAAAUAUGAAAUAUAUUAUAAAUAUAAAUAUAAAACAACAGUGAAAGCUUAAAAUAUUAGUAAGAAAGUAGUAAAUAAAACUACAGCAAAAUAUCAUGCUGUAGUUUUUUAAAAAAAAAAUAAAAGCAAACAUUGUUUAAAUCAGACAUUUCAGCUGAGGAGGCAUAAAGCUAUGUUUCCAUGACUUGCUCAAAAGGCAGGCAGGGGUGGAGUUGGGGUUAGACAAAUUAACAGAGGAUGGGUCUGUUAAUGACGUGUCCAUGUGUGUGCGCUCCCCAACUAGAACAUCCAGGUUCAGAGAAGAUGCUACUGAAUGUCAGUUUCGGGGAAGAGGACAAAACCAGAGAAGGACAAGGUUCCCAUAGGCAGUGCUUUUUUUCUAAAAAAAAUUUGGUGGAAUUUUCAUUUUCCUACUCAUAUUGAAAUACUGCCCCUCAAUGAGGCCAAACUUAGAUUCACAAAAUGUUUGGGGGUCUGCAUAUCCCUGCGUCCCCCACAGAAAAAAGCACUGCUCAUAGUUAUCUGGUCAGCCACUUUGAGAACAGAUCCUUGGACUAGAUGGGCCUUUGGCCAGAUCCAGCAGGGCCCUUGUUGUGUUUUUAAUUACGUACCCUAUAGGGCAUAUCUGGUGGGAACAUCCAAGUGCAUGAUUUGCUUGUUGUGGCAAACUCUACCGCUGGAAUGUUCAUGGCCAGUGAUCUGAAAAGGCCGCAAACAAUUCCAAAGAAAUUUCUUUUCUUUUCUUUUCUUUUCUUUUCUUUUCUUUUCUUUUCUUUCUUUCUUUCUUUCUUUCUUUCUUUCUUUCUUUCUUUCUUUCUUUCUUUCUUUCCAUUUGAUCAAAUAUUCAUGGAAAUAUGGCUGUGUGGUAUUUGCUCAACCCAAGUUCAUCAAUAAGCCACUUUUCCAUCCACAUUUGUCUAAUUUUCCUUGGUCUAGUCUCAAGGGAGUGUAAGCACUCUUAGGUUGAUCCCCAUUUAUGGCUAAAUAAAAUACCAACGUGUCAAAACUGGAUCACUCCAGACAUCCUCCUUUCAAGUGUUUGUGGGUACAAAUCAACCCAGCCUCAACUAUUUGGAUAGGUGGUGGACAGCAAUUGCCAGACUAUCUCCUGCUAUUGUGGAGGUGACCUGGAGGCAUGCCUCUUACCCUGGUUCCCCACCCCCACCAGCUGCUGCCCCGUUCUCUGGCAUCACAAACCAAACAUUCUAAUAUGCCAUAUUAUUUAUGGGCUUGUAAUUAUUUAGCAUCUGUAUGUCAACAUUACAAUACCCCCGUUGGCUGUAAAGGAGCAAAAUCUUUCUUUAAUUAACAUGACACGGCCUGUGUCAACUUUCCUUGGUCCUAGCCUUUUAAAAUUGAGUUGGGAGUUUGGAUUCCAAGCCAAAUACCUGUGUUUUAAGCAAAGACUAAAAAGACAGAGUUCUCAUUCACUAAAACUAGUCUUGGAAGCCAAUAAUUUUAUGUGUUUUAAGGAGGUUUAUGCUAUACUGGGGCAUUUACAAUGGAAUUCAUUGAAUGGGAGACCACAGUGGCUGUGUGUGUGUGUGUGUGUGUGUGUGUGUGUGUACAGGUACAGUUUAAUAAGGAGGAAGCAGCAAAUAACUGCAGUUGCCUGUCCCCUCCAACAGCUUCAGAUGCAUCAGUGAUUGCUUCAAGACAUGCACAGACUCAUAAAAAAGGCUUGGUAAUAAAAAAUGCACCAGUUUGUUUACGCAACACAUUUCUUCUUUGAGGAAGAAGCAAAUGACACAUUGCUAAGCGUUCAAGAAACAAACUGAACCGCCAUUGAAUUUAAUUACCCGACCACCCUGUGAGUUGCAUGAGCCAAAUCCAGUUCUAAAGUCAGCAGCUAUAACUCCCACUGGGAAUGGCACCCGCUUUGCCAAGGCUAAAUAUGGCCUCGGUUGUUUUUUUCUAUGUUUCUUAAGUGCCAAGGCUUUUGCUAUAUCAUAAUUGACAGCUACCCUGGGCUCACCGCAUGGAGCUGUUGGUUUUUCCAUGCACAAAGAGCAACCUUAUACUUUUCGGUUAGAUGACUUUUGCUUUAGAUGAAAGAAAACACCCCAAGAUGAAAUUGGAGAAAUUGGCUGGGUGGGUUAGAAAAGCGAUGGCAAUACAGGGCCAAAUGUAUUCCAUAAUCUUCCCCCAAAAAGAAGAAGAGACCCUUGCACUUAAAUCUGACACAGAGUUGGGUACGCUGAAGCCCAAGGCAGUCAGGGAGCUCAAAUAUGUUUAGCUCUGUGUUGAACCGUAGCUCUGUGUUGAACCUUUCAUUUGGAAAGCAUUUCCAUUAUGUCCAAUGGGACAUGCUUUUAUAUAAUGGCUACUACAACCUAGAGCUGGUGCCCUUUAGGAAUGGUAGGGUGAAAGGCAGGGAGACCAACAGUAGGGGGAGCCAGAGUCAAUGAUAGGUGGAGCCAGAAACAAUGACAAGCAGAGCCAAUCAAUUCAAGUUUCAUCCCCAUUCUCCCCCUCGCUGAGUUCUGCAAGGGCAACACAGAGACAAAGGUGGAAGGUGAUAGGCAGUACCUACGGGAGCAACACUGGGUGUUGCAACUAUUACAUAGUAAAUUGAGCAAAACGGAAAGCAACACAUGGGGAGAUGCCAAAUUUUGGCCUUGCACAGGUCACCACUGAAAUUAGAAAAACCAAGGUCCAGCCUUGACAUGGAACUGCCAAUGUCAACUUUACGGGGUUUUCUGUGUUGAUAAAGUCAGUGCAGAAAGGCUAAUUCUGUCAGCUUCUCUCAUUUAUUUUUAUUUACAUCAUCUGCUCCAGAAGAUCUCUGACCCUCUGGAGGAGAAGUGAUGGGGGACGCAGGGGAGAAGAGAGGAAGGGAGAGUCCCGUUUGUGUGAGUGAAAGCUUCAUGCACCAGUGGGACACCCAAAUUGGAUAUCACUCUCAAGCUCUUUUGUAAAAUUCACAAAGCAUCCGUGUUAUCUCAAAUGCCUGCUUGUCACAUCUGGGCAAUUUAAGAGAGUCAUCACCAAUACAUUUGGGGUUAUUCAACAAAUCUUUAACUGAUAUAGUAAAGAAAGCUCUGUUGUGCCUGACAUAAGAAGAGCCUGCUGGAUCAGGCCACCUAAUGGCCCAUCUAAUCAAGCAUCCUGGUCUCAAAUGCCUGUGGGGAAGCCGGAAGCCAGACCUGAGCACAAGAGCACUCUCUCCCUGCAGUGGUUCCUGGCAAAUAGUAUUCAGAAGCAUUACUGCUUCCAACUAUGGAGGCAGAACGUAGCCGUUGUGGCAAGCAGCCAUCAAUAGCCCUCUCCUCCAUGAAAACCCCAAUAAGCUUCUCUGCUUCCUUUUUAGUGCCUUUUUCUGAUUUAAUUUAACAGAAACCAAAGAGGACAAACUCAUAUGAUGACAUACCUGCCCUGCAAGAGAGUUUGAUAUUUAUAUCUCUAGGUUUCUGCUAGCUAACCUGAAAACUGGCUGGAGCAAAGCCCAUUCCAUGGGUCCAAAUGGAUUCACAUCCAACUGCAUCAGCUCGACUAGUCGGUGGAGAAAAGGGGCUGCAAGUCAUUAGCUCAUUACCAUUUCUGGCACGUAGAGAGAGAUACAAUACGGUUUGAAAGUGGCUGUGUUUUAAAUAUAACCAUUCUGCUCCCCUGGGUGGAUUCUGUUUCUAGUGCUGUUUCUAAGAUGGUGGUGGGGUGGGUGUGACACACGGCAAUUCGCUCCAUCCUCCUAGAUUUCUUGUCUGUUCUGCUUAAAAUAGUUUUGUGGAGGGAGGGCAAGGCAGCUACCAAUGCCUGUCUGUUAUGCUUUAGCAACGAAGGCUUGCUCUCGUCAGGGAAGCACUAUGAGGUGUAAACCUUGUAUAUAACUACAACAGAAGCUCCAGAAGGCCUCCAUUUUCUGAGGAGAUAGGCAGCAAGUGUUUUCUCACACCAGUCUAACCCUGGAGGUGUGUUAUUUCCCCUGGAGAGGAAAUACAGUGGUACCUCUGGUUACAAACUUAAUUCGUUCUGGACCUCCGUUCUUAACCUGAAACCGUUCUUAACCUGAGGUACCACUUUAGCUAAUGGGGCCUCCCGCUGCUGCCAUGCCGCCACCACGCGAUUUCUGUUCUCAUCCUGAGGUAAAGUUCUUAACCUGAGAUACUACUUCCGGGUUAGCAGAAUCUGUAACCCGAAGUGUUUGUAACCUGAGGUGUUUGUAACCCGAGGUACCACUGUAAGUAUGUCAGCUUCAGGGUUUGUGUACUCGCACCCCCUACCCCCCAGGGGCAAAUUGGGGAAGAGGAAGGCUUGGUAUCCAAUAGUUCAAAAACCUCCCUUGGUCUGCAACCCACCCAAAACAGACUCCUUAUUAGCCCCUCUGCCCUUGGGCAUGGAGAGCAGAGAAGCAAAUGUAGUGAAAGGCAAACUUUCCUCUCUGUGGGAAUGCUUUGAAAAAGUAUGCUUUGAAAGAGGGAUGGGCAACCUGUGUUGCAGCAGGUGUUGUUGGACUACAAUUCCCAUCGGCCCCAGCCAGCAUGGCCAAUGGUCAAGGAUGAUAGGAUGGUGGGAGCUGCUUUAACAUUCCUGCAGGAGGAAUGCUAGGCAACCAACAAGUUUUCAAAAAUAUGUGUGGGUCUCUUGGAUAUCCCAUGCAAGUAGUCUGUUUGGAAGUCGGAAGGCAAAUUUGUAGGCAACCCUUCUAUAGAACUGUUACAAAUUUUUCCAAGGAGGUAGACAGUGUUAUGAAACUGUACACCAGGCAUACCAAUAAAGCAUCAUUAAAAUAUUAUCCUUCAGGUUUAAUAGCCUGAGAAAAUAAGAUCUUUAGCUGGUGCCAAGAGGAGGUUAGACUAGUGAACCUGGGACACCAUCUCUCUGAAGGCCCCUGACUGCGUGCCAUGGUCUAGUCUUUUGCUGUUUCAUGGCCAAGCACAGAUAAUUAUUGAAAAGGCUCUUUAAAAAUAACAGGCCUCCACCAACAAGUGUGUUCACUUCCCUUGACAAGGUCACCUUGUAUUUUGAGAAUCUGGUGGCCUCUGAUAGAUAGCAAUAAGUAUGUUCUGAAACAUGGCCAGUAGGUGUCCCUCUUUUCACAAGUACCUUUAUUCCUUGAUCACAGGGUGUGGCAGAGCCCAUAACAGAGCAAACAUAUAUGAUUGCACCAUCGUAAAACCCUUCUGAAUGCCCAGCGCAAUAUCAGUAGGGUUGAUCCUGCCAAUAUGAGGCACAUGUAUAGAUAUAUGUGAAAAGGGAAAUAGGCACUUCUUGGUUACUUUGCUUGGGGGAUACUAACACUCUCUCAAUGAUUACAAUGACUAUACAGUGGUGCCCCGCAAGACGAAUGCCUCGCAAGACAGAAAACCCGCUAGACGAAAGGGUUUUCCGUUUUUGAGUUGCUUCGCAGGACGAAUUUCCCUAUGGGCUUGCUUCGCAAGACAAAAACGUCUUGCGAGUCUUGAGAUUUUUUUUUCGCUUUCCCCCCCUUUAUCUAAGCCGCUAAGCCUUUAAUAGCCUUUUAGCAGCUAAUCUGAUAAGCCGAUAAGCCUUUAAUAGCCGCUAAACCGCUAAUAGCGCUAAUCCGUUAAGCCGCUAAUAGGGUUGCUUCGCAAGACGAAAAAACCGCUAGACGAAGACUCUCGCGGAACGGAUUAAUUUCGUCUUGCGAGGCACCACUGUAUGAAUCCAGGAGAUAUGUUUUUCCAUUGUAUUUCUAGUUAAGGCCAAUGGAGAAAUUAGAUAGAUAUCAGCAAUAGUCUUGUGGCACCUUAAAGAGUAGGAAAUGUAUCAUGGCAUAAGCCACAAGACAAUCAGACAAUUCCAUCAAAAUGCUGAGUAAUAUUAAACUAGCCUUUAUUCAGAGCAGACCUAUUGAAAACAAUCACUAUGACUAAGAUGGCUCCAUUAAUCAUAGUAGGUCUCCUCUGCACACAUUCCAGCUUGUCAAUGUCCUUCUUAAAAUGUGCCCAGAACAGGACACAGUACUUCAGGUGUGGUCUGACCAAGGCAGAAUACAGAAUACUUGAUUGGUAUGCUGUACUUCUGUCCAUGCAGCCUAGAACAGUAUUAGCUUUUUUGCUGCUGCAUUACAUUGUUGACUUAUGUUGAGCUUGUGGUCUAUUAAGUCCCCUAGAUCCUUUUUACAUGGACCACUGGCAAGCCAACUGUUCCCCAUCUUAUAUUUGUGCAGCUGGUUCUUACAUUUGUCCCUCCUGAAAUUCAUUUUGUUCAUUUUGGCCCUGUUCUCCCAUCCCUUAAGGUCAUCUUGAAUCCUGAUGCUGUCUUCUGUGGCAUUAACUUCCCCUCCCAGUUUGAUGUCAUCUGAACAUUUGAUGAGCAUCCUCUUCAUACAAGUCGUUUAUAAAGACGUUGAACAACAACAGGCCCAGGACAGAACCCUGUGGUCACUAUUUUCCAGCAUGAUGAGGGACCAUUAGUGGUUUGGUCAGUCAACCAGUGCAUCAUAAGGCCUUCUUAGCACCUCCAGUAUUUAUAAUUCCUACUUUCAGCAAUGUACGAAAGCUCAUUUGCUCUGAGGUGCGAAACACGUCUGACAUGAUCCAUUUAAAACUCUUUAAAACCUCAAACCAGGGAAUGGGGUGAGAUGUUGAAUGCAUAGGAUUACUAUUUCAAGUUUCUUAUAUAUGUCUGCGUUGUUCUUCUUCUCCAUAAAAUUCCUUGAAGAUUAAAUAGAUGGAAAUCUGAUUGGCAAAUUCCAAAGAGUUUGAAGGGAACAAGAUGAAAAAGGACAAGGCAUUGAACUUGGAAAACAGCUACUGAGCACGUGCAAAAGCUACUCUUUUUUCCAAAUAAAUUUCAUAAAGAGUUUUAUUACUUGCCUAAAUCAUGAGCCAUGCAAGUGACUUAUCCAAAGCUAUAAAAAUGAGUACUUCUUCUGUUACCUUUAUGGGAAAUCUAGGAUAUUAUUAACAUAAUAAAUCUCAGGCGCUAACCAUGACAGAACCAGAUACAAGUCCUUGUUUUUGUAGGUUUCUGUAGAAAGCUACUCAGACAGAUGCCACAUGCCAUGAAAUAACUUUAGCAGCCAGGUCCUUUUCAUAAACAAAGGACACAGGCCAAAGGAAAAGAAAAUCCAAAACAAGUAUCAUCCCUUGAGCACCUCUUAUAUACACUAAUGUUUGCUGUGACAAAUGUUCACCCAUUUCUAUUAUUGUUUUGAAAAGAUAACUUCCAUGGGAGCUGAAACAUGUCCAAACUCUCAUUUAAUGUUCAUUCCCUGCCCCAUGCCUGUUCUUUGCUGUUCAUUUCCCCUGCUUAGGCACAGUUUUAAAAGUUAUUGCUUCUUUCUUCAUCUUUCAGUGCAUCCGGCCAAUCAGCGAUUCCAUAACACAUGUUAUGACAUCACAAUACAAAAUAGUGAAUCACCUUUGGAUGCCUAAUGCCACCACUGAGGGCAAAUGAAAACUAAUAAGAGAGCAGGCAAAGUUUCAUGAACAGAUCACAUUACUGGAUCACUGGUCAUCCUCAUUCCAAAUGUGCAUGACAUAUCUGCCCCUUUCAGAGUAACCUCCCCGCCCAAAAAAAAUCAACAAAGGGAAUGUGUUUCAUUUUUGUCCCUGCCAAAUCAUUUCCAGAAAAGUGCUCAUUUCCCCCACUUUCAAUUCGGCCUCGCCAAAUGUAUUGUGAUCCAGUGCAUGAUUAUUUGUGGGGAGGGAUUGGAGAUAAACAUAUGCCUUGUAGAUAUAUAAGCUGUACUGGCAGUAACAAGAGUUUCUGCUUUGAAUACCCAUAGUUCAAAGCUCUGCAUCAACUGGUGGUCCUCCAGAUGUUGCUGGACUUCAGCUCCCAACAUCCCCAGCUGGCAUAGCCAAUGGUCUGGCUUGAUGGGAGUUGUAGUCCAACAACAUUUAGAAGGCAACAGAUUCCCCAUUCCUGCAUUCCAUCUGCCACUGGCUACCCACUGUCUAUCCAUUUAGAAAGUGUAUGAUAAAAGCAGCUUAAGAGCUAGUGGAAAGAUCACCUGCCUCACAAAAAACAUAGUUUCACUAAAUGUUAAAAAAAAGCACAAUUUUUGUCAGAAGUGUAGAAAUAUGCUCAGUGGCUGCUGCACCAGGCGGCAGAUAUCAACUUUUUACUCUCAGAAGGUCCAGACAAUGUCUUUGUUCAACAAUCUGCUUGUCCACUGUGUGUUGGCUUCUCAUUUAAUGGUUUUUCAUAUUGCUUCUAACUAGCACAUUUCUUGGUCACUUAUUUCCCACGUUAUUCUCAUUAUCCUCAUUAUUCAUCCUUUGUCAUAGGAUUCGCUACUUCCCAAAGAACAAGCAAAUCAGUUCAUUUUUCCCUUGUGUCCUUUCUGAAUUCUCUGCUACAUUUGUCAUUCAUUUGUUAUAUUUAGUGUCCCACGAUUGGCCAUUCUGCAUUUAAAAAAAAAUAAAAAUAAAAAAUCAACAGCAUUUUGAGAAAAGAGCAGUUUCUAUGGAACGAGAACCCUUUGAAUGGCUUUAGCAUCCUUUAUUUUGAUUAUGUGUCAGCUUAUUGUGCCCAAGAUAUGGAGAUAUGGGCCUGUUGUUUUCCUCUGGGUAAUGAAUGAACAAAUAAGCCAGUGAUGAUUCACAUGCAGUCAUUCCAGAGUUCAGACAAUGGGAAACAAUAAUGGUUUCAAAAAUACGACACUUUCAUCUACAAUAUUUAUAGGUUAUUAUUAAACGGGAAUGGUGCUUAACAAUGCCUUUGAAAAAACAAAUCAUUGUCUCCUAUCACCAUUUAGCAGUUUCUUCCUGGGAAGUGUUUCGUAAAUGCUUGAUGAAUAUGUCCUCCCUUAGGACUUAGGAAACAGAAUAGUGGGCUUUAAAGGGCUGGUGCAUCCAUUCCUUCGUUAACAGGAAUGGGGGGUUGGUGCUGCUUUCAACUAUUAGUCAGUAAGAGAUUUCAUUCAAUCCUCAUGAAUGACAUGAUACGGAGACAUCUAAGGAAUGUGUGUUGCUUCUCCAUUUCUGUCACCAAGUAGUUGGGGAAUAGUUGGAGGCACUGAUGCUUCUGAAUACUGGAAGCCACAGAAGGGGAGAGAGAGCGCUCUUUGGGGGUUGGACUAUAUGAUCCUUGUGGACCCUUCCAACUCCAGAAUUCUAUUAUCCUUGUGCUUGGGUCCUGCUCGCAGGUUUCACACAGGUUUCCACUGUGAGAAGCAAAUGCUGGACUGGAUGGGCCGUUGGCCGGACAUCCUAAUGUGAAAUUAUGCAAAGCGUUAAUACGAACCCAUGAGAACUGCUGCGCAGAAUACACCGUGCGGCAUUUGAUAACUCACUUAAGUGCUUUUUCUGCUUUCCUUGGGCAAAUUACUUGACCACAGUAAGCAGCAGAGAAAUUAUAAAGCAACGGCCGGAUGUCUGAGCAUAUGGCAGGCGAAUACAACAGGAACUUGCAGAGAGAGCAACCAGGUGCGGCGGCAGCUGAAGUCGAAAUGUUGGUGACAGAUGUUCUUCCUGGUCUUUUGGAGAAGUGCAUACCAGUCAGCAUCUUCAUCAUAUCACCUGACAUCUCCUGCUGCAAGGAAGCAUGGGAUUACUUGAUGACUUUUACAACUGUGGGACAGGGCUGCGAGCAUGUGCAGGUUCUGCGUCACCUCUGCCUGUAAACACCUCCUCCAUCGCGCAGCCUCUCAGCAAGGGGACCGUAAAGAAUGCAAAGGGGCUCGAGAGGAAACCUGGGACAGAGGAUUCGGCUGUCAACUCGCGAAGUUCGGCAGCUGCCCUGCUUAUAAACACUUUCUCCACCGGGCACCCUGUCGGCCAGUGGAUUGCAAAUCGCAUUCUAAAAGCGGCGCUGAUUUCAUCAGAACGCAGGCAAAUGACAAAGGCCCACUAAACUCAGUCACUGCACCUACUAAUAGGUAGAGCCAGUGUGGUAAAGUGGUUAGAGCAUCAGGUUAGGACCUGCGUGACCAGGGUUUGAAUCCCCACUCAGCCAUAUAGUUCAAUGGACCUUGAGCCAGUCGCACUGCCUCACUCAGCCUAACCUACCUCACAGGGUUUUUGUAGGGAUUAAAUGAGAAGGGGAAAUGUAAGCCUGUUCAAGCUCCAUGGAGAGAAAGGUAGGACAUAAACACAUUAAACAGAUAAAUAAGAGGGAUUGGAGUAUCUGUCAGUUUCUCAGGUUCUCAUACGUUUUCACUGUAAAUAGUAAGCAUAAUGCAAAACAUGUGUCUUGCGUCAUUUGUUGAAGGCAAGUCAACACAGUAAGAGCUAGAACUAGAAUUGAGCUGAAAUUGCAGAGAAGACUUUUUUCUCCCUUGAGAAAAAUUCUGAGAAUGUCCCGGGGUUGAGGAGGGUGCCCCUUUGCAGAAUUUACUCUGAAUAUAAGCUGCCAUUUUAAAAAUAUUUUUUAAUUUGAAAUCAUUAUUAUUGUGCACAUUUCCCCACAGUGCCUUGGAAUAAGGCUGGAUCUGUGGCAUUGGGGAGGAUGCAGAACAGUGUGGCUGGGCUGCCAACACAGUCAAUGAAAACCUAUAGGGGGGAAAUGAAGAGUUGCUGCCCUUAUCAUUGCCAAUUACCCCUCAAGAAACAAGUGGAGAAUUUCUCCUCCCACUAGAGAAAUCUGGUGAAAUAAUCUCUUAGCCAUUUCUCUGUCUCCAGACAGGGUGGAAAAAAUUCAAGAGACCAGUUACGUACACCUCCACCUAAAGCCAUGCCAGCAGUAGGCAAAUAAUGGGUUGGAUUCAGCUGGCUGUCACUGGGUCCCAUCAAUGGGGCAAGUUACUUGCAACUUAACUUAAUCCCAUUGAUUUCAGCAUGAACAUAAAUGCAACCAACUAAAGUGUGCUAUUCUAUGCACACCAACUUGGAAGGCAGCCCUGCUGAAUUUAAUGGGGCUUACUUCCUGGUAGGUGGGGUUAGGAAUCCAGACUGGAUCCAACUCCAUGUCUUUUACUGCUCCAUAUUCAUCUUCAAGAAUUUGCAUGCAGAAGGUUCUAGAUUCAAUCCUUGGCAUCCCCCAGAUAGGGCUGAGAAUGCCCUCUGUCUGAUCCCCUGGAGAGCUGUUGCUAGGUGAGCUAGGUGAGCAAAAGGUCUGACUCUGUAAAAGGCAUCUUCCUAGGUUCCUAUGCACCUUAAAGCUAGUGGGAUUUGAAAGUGCUUAAUUUGAGCUGGGCCAUGCCUUUAGGUCUCUGAGAGAGCACAGCAAGUGGGAAAUUUCAAACGGUGGAAAUUUUAUGGCAAAUAUCCUGCCUCCAUUUCCCCAAAGGCAAAAAAACUGAGGACAGUUAGUGCACAGAGUAGCUGUAAACGAUAGCGAACAUAAUGGACCAGUUCUAUCGCUGCGAUCCAACAAAUGUGAUCUGGGUGGCCAGCAAUAACAAAACCAAUGUGCAGCUUCAUCGAAAAUUUACAUGAGGAUGGAGUUCAUUUUCAGCUUGCUGCACCUCUGGGGGACUGAACUUGAAUCAGAUCCAUGUAGCUAAGUUGUUCUCAGUGUUAUAAUAGGAAGUACGAACUCUUGGCAGUGGAAAGAGGCAAAUGGGAUACUGGAGGGAAAAUAAUACAAAUAAAAAAAAAGAGGUUCAAUUUGUUGCCUGAGCAGAACAGUGUAAUCUUGACAGGGUGAGAACAGCAAGCCAGCUCUACAGGGACAAUAUUUAUUCCUGAAUUGGGAAGGGAAAGUGAAUAAGGGAGGUUGUUUGCCAGCUGCUAGGAGCUAUAAGCAGUUUGGUUUUUAAAGGCCUCUGUGUUCACCUUGAGUCAGGCCUGGAGAUUAUUCUUACACUUCCUAAUUUACAGCUGAUCAGGAAAAGUGAAGUGGGUGGAAACAAACUGUGGAAACUGUACUGGGCUAAGUUCAGCCUUGAAUAAGGGACAACCUGCCUCACUACCAAUUGUGUGGCUGCCUAUUUUUCUUCUUCCUUCCUUCUGAUGGCAAGUUUUGUGUGUGCUCUGCCAUGGGUCCAAGUAGCAAUAUGGCAUGCCUAUGCAAAUAUUCCAAAAGUUGUUUGGAUGACUGCAUGAUCUCAGCCACCAUUUAUGAAAGGAAGCAGAGACAGUCAUCUUCUCCCUGUUUCAAGCCAGAUGUGGUCGUUCUUCAGACCAUUUUCUAGAUCCAUUUCAGUUGGGGUUUUGGCCCAGAAACUGCUUUGGUCACCCAGUAUGAUGACCUCGGACAGGAGAGACAGGGGAAAUUUGUCUCUGUUAAUUCUUUCAGUCUCUCAGUGGCUUUCAGUGGCGUCAACCAUGGUAGCAGAUGUCCAUCUUAUGAGUGGGUGACACUGUUUUGUGGUGGUUCCAGUCCUACUUGGAUGGUUGUUUCCAGAGGUUGAUGCUUGGAAAGUGCUCUUCAGCCUGAUUGAGCCUCAGGGUUCAAUUUUAUCCAUUACGCUGUUUAACAUCUACGUGAAAAUGCUGGCUGGGGUCAUCCGAAGUAUUGGAGUGUGUUGUCAGUCUUUAAGAAUGCAGCCAGAAAUGUUACAGAAAUGCCAGUACACACUUACCCAGAAGUAAGUCUCAUUAGGCUUCCUUCUGAGUAAGCAUGCCAUAAGAUUGUACUGUAAGGAAACAAGAAACAUAGGCAUGGCAGCUUCUGUUUCUGAUCAGGCCUGAAAAGAGAUUUGUUCUUUGCACAUACAGUGUUGUCAGAUCCAGUGCAGAUCUGGAAACCUUAUAAGCAAAACAGUUGACUUGCCUGAAACAGUCAAGUAUGCUUUUUUAUUUAGAAAGGGGGGGGGUGAGAGGUAAUAAACAUAAACUCCUUAACUGAGAACAAGCCAGGCAAACGUGACAAUGUGAACGGCAGAUAAAAACAAACCAUGAGUACACUUGCUGGCCUUCUGCAGUGACAAAGCAGCUCCUUUGAUAUUUUGUGAAUUAACUACCACUUGGAACAGGGAAAAUAAAUUUUAAAGGCCAUACAGUCUUUUUUGUUUGUUAAUUGUGACUUAUUAUAUUUUUUUCCAAGGGGGUUGAUGCAUUGCCUGUGCAUAAACAGAAGUAGCUUGCUUACAACUCCCGUCUUCUGCUGUUAUGAGUUUAUGAGAAAGGAAGCUCAAGGAAGAUCAAUAAAUCCUCUGCGUACAUUACAAAUGACUUGUGACGUAGGUCCACAGGAGCUGUUUUUAGUGGGGGAUAGUCCAGUUAUUAUGGAUUUGACAUGAACUUGGCCCAUUGCCUUCAAGGGAAUGAAAUGUAGGCAUAAUUUGGCCUUCCUGUAAUUGUCUCUUUAACUUGGCGAUGGAGGCUAAUUUUUUCCUGUGAAAUGAGCCCAAGACGUCACUAGAGCAAUGCCCAUAUUAAUUAAUGAGACAUAAUAAUACUAAUAAAAGCUCAUGAUAUGAGGCCUCUUCCUUCAGCUCCCCCCUCCCCUCCCCUCCCCACAUGCUCUCUUAAGAAAACUGCUUUACAGGAAUCUGUGAGUCACUUUCCAUCAAGGCGCUUUGUCUUUAAUUGACGCAAACAAUACAGUGGAGACAAAUAAGCAGCGUAGAACCAUCUGUUUAAUUGAGUCCUUGACAUUUUAUUGCAUUUCCCCCAAUUGCAUAUUAAAGGAAGCAAAUAGAAAAACACUGGCUAAUUAUAUGCUGUUUACGGAUCCUAGAUUUACUUUGAUUGUAUUCCUCUAGAUGACGAUCCCGCCUUGUUACACGCGUACCUUCUGCUUCCGCCUGCUUUCGCGUUGCACGUUUGCAUAACAAAUCCUUGUUGUGCAUUUAGCAUAUCUCAUCCCUGCAAAGCUCUUUGUGCAUCUGAAAAGGAAAACAAUAAUCUUGGGAGGGCAAACUCAUGAAAGGUUCCCAUAUGGCCUGCUGUCACUGAUCUUAGGAAUAGAGUAAGCUGUGCUACAUUCCACUUUUUAUUUUCCUCAUAUUAAUUCAGCUGAAGAUACAGCUGAAUACAGACAGUUCAUUGGAUUCUACGAUGCCGGUUUGUAAGCGAAUGGUUUGUUGAGACAGAUGUCAAUAUUGCACCUGAAAAGAAGACUCGUGCGAGAUAGCAUUGGAAUAAGGUUAUAUUCAGUGCUUUUUUCCUUAAAAGAAAAUGUUUAGGGGUACUCUCAUUUUCCUGUUUGUACAGUCAUACCUCAUGUUGCAUCUGCUUCAGGUUACGUGUUUUUGUGUUGCGUCCUGCGGCAACCGGGAAAUAACGGAACGGGUUACUUCCAGGUUUUGCCGCUCACACAUGCACAGAAGCACUAAAUCACACCCCACAGGAGCGCAGACCCGGCACUUGGGCUUGCGUCAGUUCCGUGUUAAGGAUGGGCCUCCAGAACUGAUCCCAUCCAUAACACGAGGUUCCACUGUACAGGGGUACCUCGGGUUACAGAUGCUUCAGGUUACAGACGCUUCAGGUUACAGACUCCGCUAACCCAGAAAUAGUACCUCGGGUUAAGAACUUUGCUUCAGGAUGAGAACCGAAAUUGUGCGGCGGCGGCACAGUGGCAGCGGGAGGCCCCAUUAGCUAAAGUGGUGCUUCAGGUUAAGAACAGUUUCAGGUUAAGAACGGACCUCCAGAACAAAUUAAGUUCUUAACCUGAGGUACCACUGUAUUGAAAUACUGCCCCUCAAUGAGGCCAAACUUAGACUCACAAAAUAUUUAGGGGUAUGCGUACCCCUGCAUCCCCCCAGAAAAAAAGCACUGGUUAUAUUUAUUAGAAUAUAACAAGUGGGAAGAGUUGCCAAUCUACAUUAACCCAAUUAACCAAUUCAAAGAAGUAGAGACAGGAAAGGAUUUAGCUAAUCCUAGUAGAGAAGCAUCUCUCCAGCCUUCUAGGCAUGUGAUGCAGUCUCAGCCUGUGGCUUCCCAGCUUAGGGUGGGGUGGGGGGGAUAGCCUCCUGCUUGCUAGAAGUGUCGGUUAUGAAAUCAGCACAUGCACUCAGGUCGCACUGUGCAGCAUUUGCCUAAAAUGCCAGGCCUAAAGAGCAUCCACAAGUCCCACCAGGUAUAAAGCACUGGCAGAUCCCUGAAAGCUGCUCUUAACCCAAUAAUGCCUCAGUUUCCCAACUGUUUUCUCACACACUGCCUUACCUGCCCAUGCUCAAUGUCCACCAUGACUACCAGACCACACAACUCCCAGACUGCCCACUGAAUUAGUCCCAGCAGUAGGAGAAAAACAGGACAACCCUAAGGCAACUCAAGGAUUUCUCCCUCAAAAAUUCCGACUCAGCCCCUUCAACAAGACACACCAAAGCCCACACAGCAUACAGGGAGGGAGGGAGCUGCAAAACUGCAAGGAGGAAUAGCUGGGAGAGGAGCAGUCUUAUGAGGCCAAGCUUCCCGCCUUCCCUGUUGACUGUUAGGCCUCAAAUGACUUCCUUUGGGGAGCAACUAAAAUUCCUGAGUCAUCUUUGUUAAGAGGGGAGUGAGGGCAAACAUAUCUUUUUUUAUAUAUAUAAAAUAUUUAUUGAAAUUUUCAAAGUGUUACAACAUAAAAUAAAAGCAGAAGAAAAUACAAAAUAAAAAUACAAAUUCAAAAAUAAGAAAAAAAAGACAGAAAAAAAGAAAAAAAAUACAAUUUAAGAACAUUUAAAAACAAAUUCAUUAUUCUCGAAUCCUCAACUGUCAUUACCUUCUUUCUUUGACCUCCUCCUCCUCCCUUUCUUUGUAUCCUAGUUAUUAAUUAUCCCAGCAAAUCCUUUCCAUAUUUCAUAAUAUUCUGUCAUUACAUUACCCUAAACAGUUUUAAUCUUAUCUUUCUAAAAGAAAAUAAACCUUAAAGCUUAAAACUUAAAUCUUAUCCUUACCAACUUCUCAUAACCAUAAUAUUCUUUCAUAAUUCUUUAAACAUCUUUACUAAAGCCGAGUAAUUUCAUUCCAACAUUUUUCUGACAUUCAUCAAUUUUAUAAAACAAUUCUAAUGGUAGAAAAAAGAAAUACAAACAGAUCCAAUCUUCAUCCAACGUCCCUUCCUCCUGGUUCUGGGUUUUGUCAGUCCUUAUUAUCCCAUCGAUCUGGCCCAUUAACCUGGCAACCUUAUAUCCAAGGCCCUCAAGUCUCUUCCAUGUCCCUUUCGCAGCUCUUCUUCAUAUUUGUAACUGUGUUUUCUCUUGUCUCCUGCUCGUGGUAACUCCAGCUUGGCAAUUUUUUUAACCCUUCUCGACAGAUCAGCCCCUUUUCCAUAUUCAGCACUGAAUUCCAAAUGGUAUUUUAAAGCAUGUUUCAAAGACCCUCCAAAAUUAAGAGCCCCCACAAUCCCAAACAUCUCACGGCACAAUGCCAGAUUUGAAAAGUCCAAACAUCCCAGCAUGGGGGGGGGUCAAUCCAGCCCCCCAUUUCCAAGCCAAACCAAACUUUUUCUUUCCAAAUCUGGCUUUUUCCAAGUUCAUUUGUCAAAUCCGAAAACUCAUAUUCCUGUUGGGCCUGUUCUGUCAGAACACACACUCCUGAUUUAAUUCCUGGGUGGGCUCCACAUAUUUACCCACUGUCUGUUCAAAAUUUCCCACUGCCUGUUCAAAAUUUCUAGUCGAAGUCGUCAUCAAAUUCACCUUCUCAUGUAACUGUUCCAGUAGGGCAUUUGUUUUGUAGAAAGCACACAACAAAGCUUCUGAAUACAUUGUUCUGCAAGGUCAAAUGCCUAUUCCCACGAUUGCAAUCUGUAAACAGCUGCCAGCUCCCUGGAGUUGGUUACAGUUUCACAGUCUCCCUCUAGGGGGAAAACUUCUAUUUGAUCUUGCAACAAAGUUUCCCUUUUUGAGAUAUUUUGUCAAUAUUUGUUCCUUUGAAAUGCGAAGGGAAACAGUGGAAUCACUAUGUUUCUCUUCUUUUAGCUAUCUGUCAAAAACGUUUGUCUCUGGUCAAUGAACUUCAAACGUCAGUCCUGACACCCCGCUCCAGGAUCAGGACGUAGGAAAGUUGCUUUACUUUAAACUCACUUUAAACAGUCCAAAACAGAUCCCCCUUCUUCUCCUGCUGUCGAAGGGGGGUUCCACAAUUUUAAAUGAUGAAAUCCAAUCCUUUAAAAGCGAUUUUCUGAGCUCUAGUUUACGUUGUCUUUGCUUUAUUCUGUCUACAGAAGACCGGAAGGCUGACUUCCUGUUUAGACCUUCCCGUUCCGUACCAAAUUGAAAUAGAUUUUUAAGAUCCAAUUCCUUUCUGCUCACAAGUCCCCAUCUAAUGUCCAGUUGUUCAAAGUCUAAGUACUCACGGGUGCUUAUUUUAGAGUCCAAAUUGUCCCAGGAAAAAGGCAGCGCUCUCCGGCAACGGCUAUGCAGCUUCGCUCCACGGAAAUAGCAGUUGACUCACAGCACCGCGCCACUUCCCCCUCUUCACUUCGGAGCCCGUUAGUGGGUUCCUUAGCGAGUUGGGGGGGCGCUAAAGGUGCCCGCCGAGUCCCAUGGUCACAGGCUUCAUCCGCCUGUGAUUUUUGAAAGGGUCCCCGCUUCGCCGUAGCGGAGAAGACCCGUUUCCCACGGAGCUAGUCCCUCCAGUUCAGAGGGAGUCCGCCAUUGCCGAUGGCGCCACCCCGGAAGUGAGGGCAAACAUAUCUCUGCCGUAUGUGCAGAAAUGAUAUUCUUGUGAUUCUUCUUCCUAUGCAGUGGCACUUUAGAAUCAUAAAAGCAUUCUGACAAGAAGUGCUUAGGUGUGGAAGUUUGCCUUGAAGAAAGGAGGAGUGUGUUGUAGCAGAUAGUCAGGUAGACCCAAUACAUUUCAGACCCUCCAAGUGUCCCUAUUUUCCAAGACAGUCCUAGAUUUACAGAAGCUGUUCCAGUUUCUGAUUUGAUUCCUGAAUGUCCCACUUUUCCUUAGGAUGUCCCUAUUUUCAUCAGAGAAAUGUUGGGAGGAUAUGGCUAUUUUCAUCGGAGAAAUGUUGGAGGGUAUAGAGUUGUGUGACCCCCCCAAGCCAAGGAGAUAAGUAACUAUAAAAUCUUUAGAAGACAUCUGAAGGGAAGUAUUUUAAUGCUUAAUGUUUUAUUAUGUUUUUAUAUAUGUAGGAAGCCACCCAGAGUGGCUGGGGCAACCCAGCCAGAUGGGUGGGGUAUAAAUAAUAAAAUUAUUGUUAAUAUGAUGAUGGAAUAGGACGUCCUUAUUUUCAUCAGAGAAAUGUUGGAGGGUAUGACAUUUUGCUACCUGAGUUGACAAAAUGGCACCACCCACCCCCCACAUUCAAGCAAGAGGCUUUGUCCAAGUUACAGAGCACAAGCCAAGCAAAAACACUCAGGGAGGCUGCAAAGCAGGGCCAGGGAGGGGUGUGGCUAUUUAUAAGAAGAAUAUUCAGAUACUUGUUCCCUUGUCUGCAGUCUGAAAGGGAGCAUACAGAAAGAGAAACGCUGUUUAGAGCAGAGCUUUCCAAACUUUUCAUGUUGGUGACACACUUUUUAGCCCGCCCUGUGGAACGCCCUUCCAUCAGAUGUCAAGGAAAUAAACAACUAUCUGACUUUAGAAAACAUCUGAAGGCAGCCCUGUUUAGGGAAGUUUUUAUGUUUGAUGUUUUAUCGUGUUUUUCAUAUUCUGUGUUUUUUUUAAAAUGAUAUUUAUUAAAAUUUCAAAGAAAAGAAAAAGAUUACAUUAAUAAGAAAAUUAACAAUAAAAAGGAAAAAUACAAAAUACAAAAUACAAAAAAAGAAAAAACAGUUAAAAACAAUUCCAUCUUUUCAUCACUUCUCUUACAUUUACUUGUUUCCCGGACCUCCUCAUACCACCCUCUUUUGUAUUCCAAUUCAAUUUGUUAGUCCAGCAAUUCCUUUCCCUCCUUUUUAAUCCUGAUCUUUAAUCUUGAUAUAUUAUAACAUUAAAUUUUUACGUAUUAAAAAUCAAUUUUUCCAUAUUCUUUUAUACCAUUACAGCUAGAAACCACUUAACUUCAAUCCGACAUCAUUCUAACAUUCAUUAAUUUUACAAUAUUUCUGUAAGUAGUCUUUAAAUUUCUUCCAAUCUUCUUCCACCGACUCUUCUCCCUGGUCUCGGAUUCUGCCAGUCAUUUCCGCCAAUUCCAUGUAGUCCAUCAUUUUCAUCUGCCAUUCCUCCAGUGUGGGUAGAUCUUGUGUCUUCCAAUGCUUUGCAAUAAGUAUUCUUGCUGCUGUUGUAGCAUACAUAAAGAAAGUUCUGUCCUUCUUUAACACCGAUCGGACGACUAUGCCCAGGAGGAAGGCCUCUGGUUUCUUCAAGAAGGUAUAUUUAAAUACCUUUUUAAAUUCAUUAUAAAUCAUCUCCCAGAAAACCUUAAUCCUUGGGCACGUCCACCAAAGGUGAAAGAAUGUACCUUCAGUUUCUUUACAUUUCCAACAUUUGUUAUCGGGCAAAUGGUAGAUUUUUGCAAGCUUGACUGGGGUUAUGUACCACCUGUAUAUCAUUUUCAUAAUAUUCUCUCUUAAGGCAUUACAUGCCGUGAAUUUCAUACCUGUGGUCCACAACUGUUCCCAGUCAGCAAACAUAAUGUCAUGUCCAACAUCUUGUGCCCAUUUAAUCAUAGCAGAUUUCACCGUUUCAUCCUGAGUAUUCCAUUUCAACAGCAAGUUAUACAUCUUUGACAAAAUCUUAGUUUUGGGUUCUAACAAUUCUGUUUCUAAUUUUGAUUUUUCCACCUGGAAGCCGAUUUUCUUGUCCAAAUUGUAUGCCUCCAUUAUCUGAUAAUAAUGAAGCCAGUCUCGCACUUUGUUUUUAGUUUUUCAAAACUCUGCAGUUUCAAUCUAUCUCCAUCUUGUUCCAAAAUUUCCCAAUAUUUCGGCCAUUUGACCUCCAUAUUGAGCUUUUUCAGAGCUUUCGCUUCCAUCGGUGACAGCCACCUUGGGGUUUUAUUUUCCAAUAAAUCCUUAUAUCUUAUCCAGACAUUAAACAAUGCUUUCCUGACAAUAUGGUUUUUAAAUGCUUUAUGUGCUUUGACCUUAUCAUACCACAAAUAUGCAUGCCAUCCAAAUACAUUGUUAAAGCCUUCUAGAUCCAAAAUGUCAGUGUUUUCAAGAAGCAGCCAUUCUUUCAACCAGCAAAAAGCUGCUGAUUCAUAAUAAAGUUUGAGGUCUGGCAGGGCAAAUCCACCUCUUUCCUUUGCAUCUGUUAAUAUUUUGAAUUUUAUUCUGGGCUUCUUGCCCUGCCAGACAAAUCUAGAAAUAUCUCUCUGCCACCUCUUGAAACAGUCCAUUUUGUCCACAAUUUGCAAUGUUUGAAACAAAAACAACAUUCUAGGUGUUUUUCAUAUUCUGUUGGGAGCUGCCCAGGGUGGGCAGGGUAUAAGUAAUAAAUUAUUAUUAUUAUUAUUAUUAUUAUUAUUAUUACUACUACUACUACUACUACUGACUUGUGGCAUCACAGAGGUGGGCUUUGUCACUGGCAAUACCAGUGUUGUGGAAUGCCCUCCAUGCUGAAACAUGGGAGGUUCUAUCAGUAUCGGCAUUCUGCCAGCUCUUGAAGGCACACCUGUUUGGUCAUGCAUCCCUCUGAAUUAUGCUUUAUAGUGGGCUUAUUCUGGCAUAUAUUUUAUGUUUUGAUGUAAUUGUUUUAUUGUGUAUGGAUAUUUUAUAACUGAUUAGAAGUCGUUUUAGAAUGCAAGUGGUAUAUAAAUCAAUAAUAGUAAUUCCAGAAGAGAAAGGCAGAAAGAGAAUGGAUGUGAUGAGAGGGGUUCUUAAGACUGCUUGUGGAUUCUCAGAAUAGCCUGUACAAAAGAAAUGCUGAGAGCCAGUGUGGUGUAGUGGUUGAGAGCGGUGGACUCGUAAUCUGGUGAACCGGGUUCGCGUCUCCACUCCUCCACAUGCAGCUGCUGGGUGACCUUGGGCCAGUCACACUUCUUUGAAGUCUCUCAGCCCCACUCACCCCACAGAGUGUUUGUUGUGGGGGAGGAAGGGAAAGGAGAAUGUUAGCCGCUUUGAGACUCCUUAAAGGGAGUGAAAGGCGGGAUAUCAAAUCCAAACUCUUCUUCUUCUUCUUCUUCUUCUUCUUCUUCUUCUUCUUUCUGUUCUGUAGUUUGGCAUGGGUCCAUUCGUCGUCUUCAUUCUUCUGACAUUUCCUUAUAUAUGUAUUAUUAUUUGUUUAGCAUUUGUUUAAUGUAUCUGCGCUCUUAAGGCGGGUGGCAAGAGUCAAUGAAAUACAUCUAUCAAAUAAUCCUGAAGUAGUCUAAGGAAAUACUUUUCCUGAUCCUUCCCAUUCAGCUUUUUCUGAUGUUAUGCAUGUUGCUCCAUAUUUCCUUUUGCUGAUAUCAGAUUCAGCCAACACAUGGGGUCUCCUGGAAAAACUACUCUUUCUCUGUGUGUGUGGUGCAUUUAAAUAAAUAAAAAAGGAGGCCAGUUAGCCAUUUGUUUUGAUAGGGUAAAUGCAGAGAUGUUGACUUUACAAUCAAAAGCAUUAUGACUCCAAACUUUCCAAACCCAAGUUGCGUGCUUCAGCCAACACCACCAACAUGUGCUCUACAUGAUUAAUAGUGUUUAUAAAGUACAUAAAAGAAUUUUGGAAGAAUAUGAUAUAAGGACAUUACUAUGUGCAUUUUUGGUGGGGGUUUUUUAAAACCCAACAUGAUAAAUAUACAGUUGGACUUUGCUUUCUUGACAACAGUUAUUUAUGAAAGAAGAAAAAUCAGAAAUAAAUUAGGCAAGCCAUGUGAUUUUUCUCAAAAUGAAAAAAAAAUAAUGCUAACAGUCCAAUAUCCAGAUUUGUGCUGACCAUUUUCUUAGCUUGACUGAUGUUACUAAUGUGGUUCUUCCCCACUCCUCCAAAAUAAAUAAAUAAAUAGCUGUUUCUCUCUUGAAGUUCUGCCAUUAAACUGCAUGGGGAUAAUUCUUACAAACAUAAGAACAGACAUGCUGAGUUAACCCAACCAUAUACAUCACUCAUCAUUUUCCUUACAGACAGUAGACCAAGAAGGGAGCACAAGCAGAGAGUGAUGGGUGUCCUUCUGAUGUUUAUAGCAGGGAAUAGAUGGCAGAGGGAGAGAUUGGUCUGCAAUCUAUUAUUAGCUCAGCUAAUCUCUAUUAGCUCAGCCAAGAGACCAGCAACUGUUGGUUUCAAGUGAAUAGGGAUACAUGGUUAUUAAUAAAUGUUUCUAUGCUUUCUAAACAUUCUUCAUUGGGAAACCAUCUAAGGCAAUUACAAACCAUCGUAGUACUAAUAAACAUUAUUUACACUUACAAAAAUUUACAGCAGAAAUGAUCAAACAUACACAAAAUUCAAACAAAGUUUCCUUUAUUACAAUCAUUAAAUGUUUACUCACAUGUUAAGUCUUGUCAGGAUUUAGCAUAGAAACAGUGAAGAAUAUGAAGCAGGCAGUGCAGUGAUACUUAUAAGUUACUUUCUACAUACUUAAGUACUUAAGAUACUGCUUGCUUUCUGGAGAGAGCAAACAACUUGCCCAUCCCCAUCAACAGGUAAACGAAAAAGAGGUCAGGAGGAAAUAGUAGGGCUUAAAAUCCUUUGUCUAAGUUCCCCAGGAAAUGACAUCACAGAGGUGACCUCUCUAGGAAUUCAGCUCUCUGUGAGGCUUAACCCCUUUAUACAGUAAACAUAAUUGUCAUUUUGGCUGCAGAUUUUCUCCAAAAAAUGAGACCCAGCUGAAAAGUGUCAGCCUGUUAAACAUGGCAAGCUGAGGAUGGGGGAGCGGAGCACCAUGUGGGCUGACAGGAUGAAUCUAGGACUGUGGCCAUGGGAGAAGUGGGUCCCUCUUGGAGUGUAAAGCUGGAAGCCCCAGCAUCAUAGGCUCAGAUUGUAUAUAUGUGUAAAUAGACCAUAUAUUUGAUAAAGACACCACAGUUUCCACUGUGUUUCCAUUUGCAAAGGAAACACAAACCCCAGGUAAGUGCCUGGACUUCUGGGAUCUUGCACUGCUUUGGAGAUUGGGGUGGCACAUAACAAUAUAAGAAGAAGAAGAAUAUAACAAUAACAUAACAUAACAUAACAUAAUAAUAAUAAUAAUAAUAAUAAUAAUAAUAAUAUAUUAUAUAUUUUAAUAUAUAUAAUAAUAUAAUGUAACAUAUAGUUAUAUAUUAUAUAAUAUAUGUUGCUUGAUUAGGCAUUGAAGAGUGCAAUGUAAAUGUUAGAAAUAAUUUUCAGAAAAAAUAAUCUCAUAUCAUUAGCUUGAAGCUCUCAUAUGAACCAUUUAUUAUGAAUUUGGUCAAUAUACAUAUACAUGUGUAUGUUGAUCAGUUUAUCCUGUCACUUUCGGUGAGUCUGAAAUUUGCAAGUAAUAGACACAUCCUUUGGUCAUUAGUCUUGAGUUAGCUGCCCUUUUGCUGAUUUUUAAAAGCCCCAAGGGAAGAAGAGAAACAUUUAUAAAGGCAUUCUAAUCUUUAACAUAAGCUGAGCCUUUGAUUGUAAAAUGUAUCAUUUGGUCAUCUUGGUUUUUAAAAUGCAGUCCCAUUCCCUAAAUCCAUCACUUGUUGCAGCUGUUCUGUCUUUAGCACCUGUAAGUUUACCCCUGAGAGGCUCCAGACCUAACGAAAAUAUUUUAUAGGCAUCAGGUCCAAUGGCUGGAUGUUCAAGCAUUGUUUUUUCAAAUAAAUGUACUCCCCACCAGAUUAGUCAACCAGAGAGACACAGUGGUACCAAAAGACCCAUGAACUAAAGAAUCUGAAUUGAAACAGUCUGGACUCCUUUGACGAAAAUAAGCAAAUAAAAUAAAAUAAUUACUAAACCAUUUAAUGGGUGUCUAAUUCCUGCUUUAAACUCCAGUGCUCUUUUAAACACAACCUUCAGUUACUCUGUCAUGAAGAAGAAAGAGAUUUUUGUUAAGUACGCGCAACACCUGAGUGUUCAAAAGUGCAUUCUUAUGUGUUUACAUCCUGCAGUAAAUCCUACUAAAUUCAAUGGAUCUUACUCCAAGAAAAGCAUAUUUAGCAUUGCAGCCUCAUGGUUCAAUCCUAUUUAAAUUUAUUUGAAAGAAAGUCUAGGGAUGGGUGGAUUGGCCAAAAUAAAGGUGUUAUUAAUUGCACAAAUGUAAGUCAUAUGCAGAGUGUGUUAUUGUGUAUCUAUCAGGAAGGGUGAGGGAAAGCAGCACUGGGAAUACAGGUGAGAGACAGUGGGAUUAUAACCCUUUCCCUCCUCUACAACUACUAUUUGCCUCAGGAGCUAAGCCUCCAUUGGCAUUGCAAACAAACAAAAAAGCAGUGCUAUUUUUCUAAAAGAGAGGUGCCAGAACUCACCAUGAGUUCUCUUAUAAUGGCAGUGGCGGACACCUGAGAGGUGCUGUAACUGAGUUCCAGUGAGUUCCGGCUGGGAAAAAAAGCCCUGCAAAAAAGCACAUGUUCAUGCAAUUAACAUCACAUUUCAUUUGGCCCAAAGAUUAAGCAUUCAGGAAAUUUAUUAUACCUGUGCCCAACAAUUGGUACAGUCCUAUGCAUUUAGCUGGCUCUGCAGAACUAACUUUUGUGGCUGGAGGAUUCCAUAAUUAAGGUGCAAGCAAUUUGCUGCACAAUCCUCAGAGGUCAGUCCCAUUGACUUCACUAGAAUGUAGCUCCAGGUAAGUGGGGACAACAUUGCAGCCUCAAAGCCCUGUUGAUUUCACUGAGAAAAUCAAGCUUAAUGUCCACCAAAUCAUGUUUUUAAUUUUCUGUGUCCCUGAAAAAAGCUGGGAUUUUGGAUACUAUCUUGGAUCAAAAAGCUGUCAUUUGCUUUUCCAUGCUUAUUUUUAUUCUGAUUCGAGAUUACUCUGGUCUUGUACACAUAUUAUAUUGUAGAACAGUUGAUGUGUAUAUGGGAAAGAACAGGAUCACGCCUGCAGCCCCCUUCCCCGGCCAACGCAUUCAGUAUAACACAUUCACUGUGCCUAAGUGCAUCUAAUUUGACUGUACAGAUGUGCUCAGUCUUUUCAUUUCUUGGAAUUAAACUGCUCUUCCUCUAUGAGGAAGAGAUUGCAUCUUUUUAGUAGAAUUAUUUAUAGACCCCCUCCCCCCUAUCGCCAGUUCCAUGGAAAACUUCACAUUUCAUGUGCAAAAAUCUCCAUAUUGCAGCCUUGCAGUUCUAAAAGACACAGGGUUGUAGAAACACCUCCCCCCCCAAAAUGCUCUGAAGUAGACCCAUUGAAAUAAAUGGAAUUAAGCUAGUUGAUUUCAGUGGGUCGCCUCCUGAGUAUGACAAUUGGAUCCAAUCAACUAGUAUUUACCGUUUUCCCUCUUUAUUGCCUCUUUUGCAUUGGUGUCCUUGUAGGGCUGCUUUAAAAUCCUCUAUAGAGAUCAUUGGAUGACUUCAUUAUGUAACAUAAAAUCACCAUCCAUCAUUUUCCUCUAAAGGGGAAGUAUAGGGAGCUGACGACAUUAUUAAGCAAUAUAUUAUCAGAGACACCAUAAGGAUUUUUCGGAAUCUCUUAUAGAGGCCUCUAAAACAAGCUGCUUGCAACACCUGGUGCUUAUUUAUUUCCUGGACCAAAUCUCAAACCAUUGUUAGAGUUCCCAGUGGAAGAUAUUUAUGGUUUUAGGUUUUCGAGCAGGCAAAGCCUUCUUUAAGAAGAGGGGCUAUGUGUAAUGGAUAGAAAGUGAGAAGAUUCUAGAUUAAUAAAUCCCCUCUUUAUCCGAACAGAUCUGAGCAGAUUAAUGGCUUUGGUUGCUUCUAAGCUAUUAUUGUGCACAGUUAAUUACAUGUGAGCAGCAACCACUCACCGUAGCCUCAGAUAGUGGAAGAAGCUGUACAUUAAUACACAUUCGAAAUUGAAAGGUACCUGUGUAUUCAUUGUCAGGGAGCAGCUGGGAUCCUCCAUUCAUCAGCAAGACCCAUGGGGAAGAACAUCUGCAAAAUACACAUCUGGGAACUCAUCUGUCUCAUGCCUUCACUCUCCAUGUGUUAUGUCAAAGCUCCUCAACCAGUGCAUUCAACCUCAGCUGCUGGUUGUGGACUCUCCAGCAUAUUCAGCUGUACCACUUGUGUGUUCAGAUUCCCAUCCGGCAAUUUAGUCAUUGCCGUUCUCCAUUAAUGGAGGCAAGAGGGUUGUCCAGGAUUCUAGAGGCCAAUGACACAUGGUGCUGAAUGCUUCAUUGAUGGAGACACACAUCUUUCCCCAACCUUCAACAGCAAGAUCGGAACAGUAGUGUGCAGGAAGGGACGUUAACACUUCCUCACCCAAAGAAAUAUCCCACCCCCUCCCCAAGCACCCAGUGGCAUCAGUGAUCUGCCUCACCUCCAAACCUGCAGUUUGCCAAAGGUAGACUCACCUUUAAAUGCAGACCAGGUCAAAUUUCUCCUCCAUCUCUUGGGCUCUUGUUGAAAACCCUGAGGUGGAAAUAGCACAUAAGAUGUGGCAUGUGUUUUUUCCCUCUUUCCGCCUUAACAGCACCUUCUUCACACUAUUUUCUCUCACCACGAAGGUGCCUUUGAACCUUCAUUCUAAGCUUAUUCCCCCCUCAUUCUAAACUGCGGGAGUUUUAAAAGCAUAAUUCAGAAUUGAUGGUAUUAAUUUCUCUUUGUGGGAGAAUCCUAUGGGACUGAAACAAAGCAACACGAGUCAGUUAUCUUCCCAUGUUGUGAUUUUUGGUAACUGUAGACAUUGUUUAAGAAUCAGCUAUUCCUGUUUCUUCACAUAACAUAGCUUGGAAUAACUCCAACAGUAUACAUUCAAACCAUGUCCAUCACAUUAUAUUUAGCUGGAAGUCCCCCUAUUUCAUAUCUCUGACUGCUUAUUACUUUUGCUUUUGACAAUUGCAUGGUGAGCAAAAAGUACCUGAGAACAUGAUGGAAGGCACGAACUACUUUAAGAACCCAAAAUCCUGUGGUUUAACACCAGGAUAUAUUUGCCUUGUCAAAAGAGCAAAAAAUUCAAAUGAAUUAAAAUCUGUAUUGGCAUGUAAGUUAUUGUUCUCUGAGUGCUGAGGUGAGUAAUGGGGCAGACUAAGCCAACUAGGUUGAUGUGGCCAUACACUUUUGAAAGUGUCACAGGACUUCUUUUAUGUGUGGUGAGUGAACACAUAUAGAUAUGGCUACCAGUGGUGGGUGAAAUCUCAUCACUCAGUUUAGGAUUGCUGCACCUUCUUACAUUCUUAAGAGAACCCUGUGUGUACUCCAAGUCCCAGCCAGCAUGGCCAAUGGUCAGGGAUGAUGGGAACUGCAGUCCAAAGCAUCUAAGAAAAACCUUCUGGAUCAUGGCAGUGGCUCAUCUCCUGCAGUUUCCAGCAAUUGGUAAGGCACCAGGUUGGGGAAAGGUGAUGUAAUAAUAAUAAUAAUAAUAAUAAUAAUAAUAAUAAUAAUUUAUUAUUUAUACCCCGCCCAUCUGGCUGAGUUUCCCCAGCCACUCUGGGCGGCUUCCAAUCAAGUGUUAAAAACAAUACAGCAUUAAAUAUUAAAAACUUCCCUAAACAGGGCUGCCUUCAGAUGUCUUCUAAAGAGAAGAUAGCUGCUUAUUUCCUUGACAUCUGAUGGAAGGGCAUUCCACAGGGCGGGCGCCACUACCAAGAAGGCCCUCUGUCUGGUUCCCUGUAACCUCACUUCUUGCAAUGAGGGAACCGCCAGAAGGCCCUCGGUGCUGGAUCUCAGUGUCCGGGCUGAACGACGCUCUUUGUCCCGACCUUCAGAUGAAUGUGUGGAGGUCAGUGCAAUCGAUCUCCCUCCCUUCCCCUUCACACAUUCAAAGAAUGCCUGAAAGGGGUUCUUCUCUCCUCCUAAUCCACCUACAGGUUUUCUUUGUGGCUUUAAGCGCGGUAAGAAUUGCAAAGGCCUUUGGCAACCGCGACGCAUAAAUUAUUGCUCUAAAAAGAAAGCGAUCUUUAUGAGGGCUUCAUCAGAAGCACAUGUAUCUAAGUAUUAGGAAUAUAUUAUUCCACAGGACUUGGCGACGGCCCAGAAGCCGGACCGCUGCGCGCAACAUUGGCCCGUGCAAUUUGAGAAGCUGCUGAGCAUCCCAAACAAGAGCAGCAACGAUAAGAGAUAGCAAGAAAGGUUGAAGAGCUGGUCAUGUUUAGCUUAGGGGCCUGAAGGCUCCAGGGUGAUGGUGAUAUAAUGGUUCUCAGAUCUUUGAAAGUAAGCUGCAAGCAGGAUGGCAAACAACUGUUGGCUGAGUGGAAUUUGACUGCAUAGCCCAUAAAUGAUGACUGAACUGUCAAACCAACCAAAAUGUUUAUUCGGCUUUACGCCCAUCAUAAAGCACAACACACAAAACAAAUCAAAUAAAACAGCGGUCUCGAACAAGCCACAAGUAAUAUAACACAAUUCACAGCUCACAAGGACAAAUAUUGGCAAAUCAAAACAGAAAUUUAAGAUUAAAGUUAAAAAUUUGGGCACUACGCUAAAUCAAUUUCUGAUGUCAAUAUCAAAAAUUCUUAUAAGUAUCAAUAAUCAGUUAACAUUCCAUUCCGUCUCUUGUACGAGAGAACGGCUGUUAGGAAUUUAGCAACCUGUAGAGUAAUAUAAGGAUCUACAUCUUGAAGAACCCAGGCAAGCUGUAGGUCUACUGGUUUGUCAGCCAUAGGCUGGAUUAUGGAGUUUAGUAUACUAGCGCGAGCUAAACUGUACAUAGGGCAGAUAAACAUAACAUGAUGUAAAGAUUCAGAUGUUUUCAUUUCACAAGCACACAUUGAAGGGACUUGGCCCUUAGUGAAUCUAUGUCUCAGCACGUUUGUUGGGAAAACAUUGAACCUGGCUCUAAUGAAGGCAUAUCGGUGAGAUGCGGCUAUAAGCGAUGUUAAGUAGGACGGAGCACGAUAGAUAGGGGUUAUGCCGAGAUUUAACGGGGAGCAGGCUCCACCACCAGCUAAGAAAUUUUGGUAUAGCUCCACAUCAUCCAGCCUUUGAUUUAUACACCUUUUGCCGCGUUUAGAUCCAGUUUGAGCAAUUCCGUGGGCGAGAUCUCAUAGGACAGCAAUUUGGCAUGGAUUUUUCCUGACCACAAAUUUGUAAAGUCAUCCCGCCACAUGCAUUGAAUGAGAUAGUGGUUCGGUAGUUUAUGCCAUAGGGAUAUCCAAUAAAUCAAAACUCUCCUCCAUAAAACUAACUCCACUGAGGGGAUCUUCAUUUCUAAGCGAAUAGCCGCAUUACUUACGCAUGUUGGUAGUUUUAAAAGUCGGCGUAAGAAUUGGCUUUGAAGCGACUCUAAAGGUGAAAGGUUUGCAAAGGCAGCCCAUAAAGGUGCAGCAUAGGCCAUUGUGGCCAUCACUUUGAUGCUAUACACUUUCAAGGCCGCAGGAAUGAAUAAGGCCCCCUCAGAGUAGAAAAACGGAGGAGGGAGUGUGAUAGGGCUUUUGUCUUGUUUUGAAGAUAUUCAACGUGCUCUUUCCACCCUAGAUUAUAUUGAAAAUAAAUUCCUAAAUAUUUAAAUUUAUGUACUUGUUCAAUUUUCGUGCCCUCCAAUUUCCAUGAAUAUAAUUUUCGACUCCUUGAAAAUAUCAGUACUUUGGACUUGGUGUGGUUGAUAGACAGAUGAUUAGAAUGGCAAUAUGAUGCAAAAAUCUUUAGUGCCCUCCUUAAACCCACUCUGGAGUAAGAGAGUAGUACCGCAUCAUCUGCGUAGAGAAGUAAAGGACAACGAUAAUCUGCUAUACGGGGGGUGUGGAUAAAUUUUUGUGAGUCGAUUAAUGGGUUCCUCAUAUCACUGAUAAAUAAGUUAAAAAGAAGAGGCGCUAAAAUACAACCCUGGCGUACACCCUUAUUUACUGGCACUGGGUUAGUUAGGUCUCCAGCAGGGGAUAUUCUUACCCUGGCCACGGACCCGGCAUGAAGUUGGGAGAUAAGCCACAGGAGCCUUCUAUCUAUUCCCCAGCAGGCAAGUUUAUCCCAUAGUAAUUGCCUCGGAAUACUAUCAAACGCAGCUUUCAAAUCUAUGAAGGCUGCGCAAAGUUGGCCCCGUCGAGGUGUCGAGUAUUUCCGGGCUAAGUGAUAAAGAAUAAUUGCCUGAUCUGUUGUGGAUCGGUUUAAUCUAAAUCCAGCUUGCUCAUGCCCAAUCAGGUCAGCCUCAGCUGACCACUUCAUCAGCCUUGCCAGCAAAAACGGGCAUAUAUUUUCCCAAUGGACGAUAGCAGACUGAUAUUCCGGUAAUUCCCUGGGUCACCGGGAGAACCUUUUUUGUAGAUAGGAAUUAUAAUGGCCUCCUUCCACGUACCUGGUAUUAAGCCCGUGGCAUUUAUUGCGUCAAACGUUUUAGCUAAAAUCCCUGCCCACCAUGCAGAAUGUAGCUUUAUAGCCUCAACAGGGACCAAAUCUGGCCCAGGGGCCUUACCAGUUUUCAGCUCAGCUAUCAAUUCUAGGAUUUCAGCAGGGUCGGUAUUGUGCCAGACGGGAAGGGGAUUAGAAGGUCUCCAGCGAGUGGCCGGAGCUUCUGCCACUGAGAAAUAUUUUCUCAGGAACUGCUCCCAUGUAGGGGCCGGGAUCACCGUUAAGGGGUAUUUCGUGUUUCUUCCCUUUAUUAAGGACCAAAAUUUCCGGGAGUUAUGAGAUUUUGCGGUAGAAAUUAUAGUCUGCCAGCGAUUUAAAUGCCAUUCCCGUUUGGCCGAUUUCUGGGCCUGUUUGUAUGCUUUUUUAGCCAGGGAAUAAGAUGGAGGUAAGGCCAGAGCGCCGGAAAGUGAACUGUCAAAGCUUUGGGAUUAAAUACCAGAGUCUUCAAACCAUCAGAAUAUUUAAAUCAAUCUUCACGAGCCCAGUGCUGCACUGGCUAGGGCUGAUGGGAGUUGUAGUCCAAAACAUAUGGAAGGCACUCUGGAAGGCUGGUGAAGCUUGGUUUAAACUAUGUAUCUUUUUGUAUGUUCUUUCAUAUGUGGUGGACCUGUAAAAGGGUAAAAGAUUAUUGGGAAGUAAUUGAUAAUGAAUUGAAAAAAAUGUUUAAAAGCACCUUUCCAAAACCAAAAACCAGAGUCCUUUUUGUUGGGGAUAAUUCAGAUGGAAAUUCCCAGGUGUCAAAAAAGGUUAUUUAUGUAUGCCACUAUGGCAGCCCGUGUUUUGUUAGCCCAAAAAUGGAAAACGAACAAGGUCCCAGCCAAAGCAGAAUGGCAACUUAAACUGAUGGAAUAUGCACAGCUUGCCGAUUUAACUUACAAAAUAAGAGAACUAAGAAGAAUAUUCUUUUAAAGAAGAUUGGAAAAUGUUUAUUGAAUAUAUUGGGGGAAUUGCAUACAACUGAAAAUGUUGGCAGCAUUAAGAUAAAUUCAACAGUGUAAAUAAUCUUUGAUGGAAGUAAUGAUGGAAUACUGAAUGGUUUAGUUUAUAUAAAAUAUGCAGGGAUUUAUGCUAUGCAAAAUGAACCAUGGGGAGAGAAGAUGGGAAUUCAUUGAUAUUUUAAGGUUGUUUAAAUGAAUAUUCUAAAUUGUAAAACAGAAAAUUUUUAAAUUAAACAAACGAACGAUGUAUUUUUUGUACAAUAUCCCUGGGAAAGGUGUUAUAUAUUGGCAUGUCCCAUCACUCCAGUGGCAUUUGUGGCAUAGGAAGCUGCCUUCUACUAAGUAAGACCAUUGGUCUAUCUAGGUCAGUAUUGUCUGCACUGAUUGGCAGCAGCUCUCUGAGGUUUCAGACAAGUCUCUCUCCUAGCCCUACCUGGUUGUGUCCAGUCCAGGUAGCAACUGGCCAUUCUUGCUGCUUAGAGCAGCUGCAAUCUGUGUUUGUGGAGGGAACUUUCAAAACAGGCACUGGGAAGCUGUGGCCCUCCAGAUGUUGCUGAACUACAACUCCCAUCAGCAAGCAUGACCAGUGGUCAGGGGGUGAUGAGAACUGUAGUUGUAGCAACAUCUGGAGGGCCAAAGGUUCCUCACACCUGUUUAAACUAUUAAAGGCAGUCCUUGGGCCACCUUGGAAACAUUUGUCAUUUGGGAGUGCAUUUUGGAGCGUGUGUUUUUAAAAAACUGCAAAUUGAAAUGGAUGGUAUGGAUGGUGUUUUUCUUUUUUCCAGAUAGGAAAAAGAAAUUAUCCAAAAGCAAGAAGGAAGUAAGGACAUGAAUGCUGUCUGUUGGUUGGAAGAUGUUGAAGAAAUCCCCUGUGGAAAAACAACAAAGAAAGGUACCAGGAAACAAAGUAUUAUUUUCAUGUUCUGCCAUUAGCUUGCCACCUGUUAGCUGUGAUCAUUACCCAGAGCUGAAAGGGGAAAGGCUAAUCUCUUGCACAUUUAGAUCAACAAACUCAAACAAAACCUGCCUAAUUAUCCCAUUGAACCUGUGUCAGUUUUUUAAAUCCAGCUCCCUUUCCCAGCUUGGCUGCAAGCCAAGCCCAGCAAGCUGGUGUCCAUAAGCCGCAUGCUAAUGACAAUGUCCUUUCAUUCCAGGAAUGAUAUAAUUGCCAAAAGCAGUUUACAGACUCAUUAUUUUUAUGGUCAUAUUUCAGAGGAAGAGUCAAAGGUCAGUCUAGGGUUUGCUUGGGAGAGUAUCGGAUCUUGCCUAUUGAGAGCAUGCAGCAGCAGCACCACCACACCAGCUCCCAAAGAGCAAAGUGUUAUCCCCGGGUUAGCCAGGAUUCCCACUGUCACAGCAAUGACAACCUAAGAAUGAUUCAGGUGGUCAGUUUUUACACAGCCCAUUGCUAAUCCGUACUUAAAGAAAAUCCCCCUAUGAUGUGAAAACAAAUAAUUCAUUUAGAUGUUGAAUUGAGCACAAGCAUUUUGUCCAGAUAAAUUUGACAUGCUUUAUUUAGUACACUUUUAUUCUGCUGUUCAUCAUAAUAAUGUUGUCACAUUUUUUGCCAGUUUUUUGGGAGGUGGGGAGGGGGAAGUGCUGAAUUUGUGUGAGUGUUCUUGCAAGUAUGAAUGAGAUUGCCCUGCCCACAUUCUGUUUCCACCCCACAUUCAAACAUAUUUGUUCAGGAAGGGUAUUUCAUCACACACACACACACACACACACACACACACACACCAAGAAUGUCCACAUGGGUGGAUUCCACAACUCCAAAGUAUCAUUUUUCACCAAAUCAUUUAUAUCGGUUUUUAACUGAAGCUAACCAAGGCAAGUUCUCAUUUCAUUGUUUCCUACUUUCCUAGGCAAAGGAGGUACAAGAAAGAAGAGGACGAGAUCAAGUGGGUGUGAAAGGAAGAUCAGAAAGGGGAACAAGCUGCUAGUUAAAUGUAGGCAAUGUGGAGCCCUCCUGAACUUGGUUGGACUACAACUCCCAUCAUCCCGGACCAACGGCCAUACUGGCUGGAGCCAGUGGGAGUUGGAGUCCAGCUACAUCUGGAGGGCACUAUAUCGGCCAGAUGUGUACUAGGUCGUUGCAAAACCCGAUAACCAGAAUGCUGUGGUCAUGAUGGUGGUGAUUGAUUGUGACUCUUAGCAGUAGUGUUGUUUAGUUUUGAAUGUGGCUUUCCUAUUGCAUUUCUUAUAUUGAUUGCUUUUUUGCUGGGACUUGUAAACUGAGAGAUUUCUGUUGAAAGAUGAAGUAAAUAAAUAGAUAGAUUUGGGGUGUAAAAUUCAGGACUGACAAAACACAGCACUGCAGAAUUCUGUUCCCACAAGAAGCAGUGGUGGCCACCAUUUUUGAUGGUUUUGAAAGAGGAUUGGACAAAUUCAUGGAGGGUAAGACUAUCAGUGGCUACUAGCUGUGAUAUCUAUACUCUGUUCUCCAUGGUGAGGGGCAGCAAUGCUCCUGAAAUACCAGUAGCUGGAGACCACGGGAGGGGAGAGGGCUCUUGUGCUCAGGUCCUGCUUGUGGGCUUUGCCUAGGCAUCUGGUUGGCCCCUGCAACAAUAUGAUACUGUGAUAGAUCACCCUUUGGCCUCUUCUUGUGUUCUUACAUUCUUACAUUUCCAUUUCAGACAGCAGAGAUCAAUGCUGAAGACCAAAUAUUCACUCUGUUUGGAGAAUAUUUGUCUUCUGGUUUUGCUUGGGAGAACUGGGGCAGGGGGUUGUUUUAACUCCAGGACUGCAGAAGUGGGCAAAUGGUAUCUGCUGUAAAACCAUAGUUGAAUUAUAAUAAAACAAUACCUCAGUGGUAUAUUAUAUAAUAAAAUGAAAACAGCAUAUUAACUGAAACAGUAAAACUGUAAUUAAACGCAUACAUCCCUUACAGUGCAAGCUUAUAAUGUCUACUCAGAUGUAAGCCUCACUGACCUCAAGGGGACUUACUCCCAGGUAAGAAUGGGUAUAGGGUUGCAGCCUUAAUGUCCCAAAGCAUGUUGGCUAACUUUAUAGAUCCUCUGCCAUCUGCAGUUAAUUACUGUAGUUUUACUAUUAGCAGGUCAAUAAACUUUUGAUCACCUCUUUAUUCUUUUAUUGGGUUCUGUGCCAGCUUAUGUUUCAGUGUGAGGUUCAGUAACAAGUUUUUCCCUGAAAUAGGGAAAAUUAAUAAUUUUGAGGUGUUUGACAUGUUUCAAGGGCAGGGAUUAUAUGCUGCUUUGGGUGAUGGAACUAAUCAUUUAUUUAUUUUUUUGCCAAGGGAAUUCUGUAAAAUGCCAUGUGCGCUGACAACAAUCGGAUUAAAACACUAUUAAUAACCUCUGCAGUUCAAGCUUGUUCCUCAGUGACAGUUCAACAAGGCAAGCCUGUGGAUAUCAACUCACAGGUAAGCUCCACUGUGUUCAAUGGGAUUUAUUCACAGGAAAGAGUGCAUACCUCGGCCUAAGUGUACAUAACUCUGGGCACAAGAGUUUCAACCUGCAAACAGAAUUUUCUCAGAUAUUCAAGGGCCGGUAUCCUGUUCUCACAGUGGCCAACCACAUGCCCAUGAGAAGCACACAAGCACAUCCUGAACAGCAGUGCAUUGUAGCUCUUGAACAGAAAAAGAGAAAUAUUACUGAUGUUGACAUUACGGUUUACAUUUUACCUACAAUUUACACUGGGUACCUACGGAAUAUCAGUUACUUGAUUUUGGCAGCAUAUAAAUAGUCUAAAUAUUACUCUGGAAGAAUUGCUUCUUGUAUUAUUAUUUUUAAGCAAUUUAAAGAGGCAUAAUUCUGUUUCACUGUUGCUAAUCGAAGGCUUUGUAUUGCAAUUCUUGUUGGUGUUGGAUCAGAGCCUCGGUUUUUACUGUGUGCUGCACUCUCAGGACAAUAAAGAUUAGUGUGUUUAAAUUGGUUAAGGCUAAAGAAACAAGUGAGGAAACCAAAUCCUUGCCGCAUCCAUAGUAAAGAUGAAAUACACACACACACACACACACACACACACACACACACACACACACACACCGGUCCCCACUCAACAAAACAAAAGCUGUUUGCCCCCUCCCUCCUUCAUAUCUGAAACCCAUUAUUCUGUGAGUGUAAACCUAAAUAAUGAUAAUUAAUUGUAAGUAAAUAAGCUGGAACUCUCACCAAACUGUGUGUCUGUGUUUCAACUGAGAUGUAUCAUUUGACUGAGGGCAUUUUAAUGUUCGGUGUCUGUUUCAAUGAGGUCAUCAGAUGUGAUGGAGGAUAAGAAGCCUGGAUGUUUUUAAAGUGGUGCAUUGGAGGGAUUUUUUUGCCUAAUGUUGGGGGUUUCCCCCCCCUCACCAAAACAACUAUUAAAAGUACAGGGUCCCUGUCUUAUGUGAUGUUUGCUAAUCCUACGCAUACCAGUUUGAACUGGUUUUAUUAUUUGUUUUAUUUUAUUUUAAAUGUUUAGAAUCCACCCUUCUUCUAUAGCAAGGGUGGGAAAUCUUUUCGAGCCCUUGUGGACAACUUUCUGGAGGCCACAUAUUGGAAGUGGGCAGGGGCAGCUGCAAAAGUGAGUGGACUUUCACCUUUUUACAUUGCAGUCAGGAUAAAAAUCAAAGGAUCUUACACACACAACAUACCUCUCUCCAUCCUCCUUUCAGGCACAUCCGACAAGAAGCAAUUCCUUGGAACAAGAUGGAGAUAGACUGAAAUUGCAGAGUUUUGAAAAAUUAAAAAACAAAGUGCGAGACUGGCUUCAUUAUUAUCAAAUAAUGGAGGCAUUUAAAUUAGACAGGAAAAUUGGCUUCCAGGUGGAAAAAUCAAAAUUAGAAACAGAAUUGUUAGAACCCAAUACUAAGAAUUUGUCAAGAAUGUAUAACUUGCUGCUGAAAUGGAAUACUCAAGAUGAAACGGUAAAAUCGGCUAUGAUUAAAUGGGCACAGGACGUAGGACAUAACAUUAUGUUUGCUGACUGGGAACAGUUAUGGACCACUGGUAUGAAAUUUACGGCAUGUAAUGCCUUAAGAGAGAAUAUUAUGAAAAUGAUAUACAGGUGGUACAUAACCCCAGUCAAGCUUGCGAAAAUCUAUCACUUGCCCGAUAACAAAUGUUGGAAAUGUAAAGAAACUGAAGGUACAUUUUUCACCUUUGGUGGACGUGCCCAAAGAUUAAGGUUUUCUGGGAAAUGAUAUAUAAUGAAUUAAAAAGGUAUUUAAGUAUACCUUCCCCAAGAAACCAGAGGCCUUUCUCCUGGGCAUAGUGGGCCAAAUGGUGUUAAAAAGGAUAGAACUUUCUUUAUGUAUGCAACAACAGCAGCAAGAAUACUCAUCGCAAAGUAUUGGAAGACACAAGAACUUCCCACGCUGGAGGAAUGGCUGAUGAAACUUAUGGACUACAUGGAAUUGGCGGAAAUGACUGGAAGAAUCCGUGACCAGGAGAAGAGUCGAUGGAGGAAGAUUGGAAGAAAUUCAAAGACUAUCUUCAGAAACACUGCAAAAUUAAGGAAUGUUAGAGUGAUGUUGGAUUGAAAAUAAGUGGUUUCCAGCUGUACAGGUUAAAGCUAAGGAUAGAUUAAGAUUAAAGAUUAAGAUUAAAGAUGUUUAAAGAAAUGGAAAUUUGAUAAUAAAAGGGAAAAAUUUAAAGGUAUAUGACAUUAAGAACAAGGAUUAUGUUUAAAAAAGUUGAAGCUAUAUAGUUUAAUAUUUCAUUAAAUUAAAGAUUGGGUUUAAAAAAGUGGAAAAGAAACUGCUGGACAAAUAAUGUAGAUUGGAAUACAAAAGAGGGAGGUAUGAGGAAGUCCAGAAAAUAAGUAAUUCAAAAUUGGGAAUGUAAAAGAGAGUUUGUUUUAAAUUGUUAUGUUGUGUGUUUCUAUUGUUAAAUUUUGUAUUGUUUUUUUGUGUGUGUUGCUUUUUCUUUUUUCUUUGUUUAAAACUUUAAUAAAAAUUU